rnacentral:lncRNA from 1 species
UGUAUUUUCAAUAUUAUUUCUCGUAAAUUAAACCAAAUACAGUCGAAUUUCAUUGAAAUAUAGUGUAACCAAUUCUCUCAAGACUGCACAGAAUGUGUCAUGUAGCUAGCUGCAAGAGUAACACGUGGACAUGCCCACAAAUUUGCAAUACAGUAAAGGGCUGAAGAGAUUUUAUUUGAUUUUAUUGAGAAAAAACAUACGUGUACAAAAGACAGAAUGUCAAAACAAAUACUACACGAAAACAUACAUACGUCGUGCAUUGCAACAGGAAAAAAAUAUAUGUAAUAGACUGAAAGCCACAUAAUGAUUCACUUAGGUGCGAUGAGUUUAAUUAACUCAUGCAUGGUAGCUAGCAAGCUAGCUAGCUCCGCCCCACCUUUGCUGCCAUGAGAUCGUUGACGAGGCGGUGCAAAUCUUGCUGCGAGGAGCCUCCUUGUGCGAUGGCGGCAUGAGACUUUGAGGCGAGGUCCAUUACCCUUGUCCUCAUAACGUCCCCAGGUCCUCCAGAAUGCAUGAAUGUGAGCAAUGCCCGGGCCACAUCGUCGGCCGGGAUCAGCUCAUGUUUUUCGUAAUCCUCGCUCCGUAAGCCAGCGCCAUGCGGCCAGAGUCGGUGCCCGAUUCCUAGCACAUCUGUGAAUAGCCUCUCGUUGACGAAUUGGUCGUGCACCUUUGGCCAUGUGAGCAUAGGCACGCCCGCGGCCACUGCCUCUAGGACGGAGUUCCACCCACAGUGCGUCAGAAACGCGCCCACUGCAGGGUGCGCAAGUAUGGCGGUUUGUGGAGCCCAGGAUCUGAUGAUGAGCCCCCGGUCCUCGACACGCUUCUCCCACCCUUUUGGUGGAGUCCACUUGUCGGCCGCCCUGACGACCCACAAAAACGGCUUCCCCGAGGCCUCCAACCCAAGAGCAAGUUGGUCCAGCUGAGCAUCCGAUACGAGGGCGCACGAGCCAAAGGACACGUACACGACCGAAUGGUCCGACUUUGUGUCGAGCCAACCGAUGCACUGUGACUUUGAGUCACCCGUGGGGCUCUCAGAGGAUUGCAGUUGCGGCCCUACAAAGUAGGAGCGCUGGACGUACCCUUGGCCCGUGUACAUGUCGCAGUACUGCUGCUCCAGGCCUGAGAAUGUGUUGACGGCGAGGCCGAAGCAGGCAGCUUGCAUGGAAUGAAUCUUGUCGAAGACGUAUCGAAAUAUCGAUAAGUCGGGCACCUCAGUCCUUGGGACCCGUAUCUGAGGGGUCGGGAACGGAGGGGCCGUCACCAUGUCAUCUCCGUCGAUCGCGGCGUCGUCCAUCAUGAGGUGGCGCAUGGCGAGCAUCGGGAAGGCGCCGGUGACAUGGAAUGGGACGCAUGGCACGCCGAGCUCGUCGGCGAUGCCGGCGCCCCAGGUGAAGAGCAUGUCGGUGAUGAUGGCGUCUGGAGACUGCGCCCGGACGAGCGUCUCGUGCGCGGGGCGCAUCAGGGGUUCGGUCGAGGCGGCGAUGUUGAUGCGCAUAGCAUCUGCCUGAGUGGCCGCCUUCCCAAGGUUCUCGACACCCUUGGGCAGGCCCUCCACCGUUGGGAACGGAUAGGUAACUAUCUUGACAGUUGCUGCGCUAUGGCGCUCCAGCAAGGACUGGACGAUCGGAACGUUCGCCGGCGUGACUGCGAUGAUGGCUUCUACGGUGGCGUUUGGGCUAGACACGGCGAGGCUAACGGCAAGCUCGGUGAAGGGGUGGAUGUGGCCAGUCGCAAAGUGGGGCAAUAGCAGGACACGCAGAGUCUUGCUGCCGUUGCUAGUGGUAGAAGAAGCCAUCUUUAUUUCUUUAAUUUCCUACUAGGAGCACAAGGCUGUGGGUGGCUCAGCCAGGACACGCAUUGAGCCUAUUUGUAAGCCGGCAAGCUGUUCGCUCUUCUCUGAUUUUUCAACCAACUGUACAGUGAUAAGCUCCAUACAAGAGAACAGCGAACAAAUCCACAAGUUUCAACGGUAUACUUCAGAAGAUUUCACAUACAUAUUGCAAAUUCCACAAGUUUGAACGGAAAACAUGGAAGAUUUCACAUACAUAUGACCAUUCAACCAUAGAGGGAGUAUCUUCCACAUAUAGGACAAAGAGGAACCAUACGUCAAAACACAUGAGAGGAAACUUAAUGUAAACUCGGGACUACUGAUUUGUCCACAAGUUUACAAUCAUCCAUCUACAGAAGUACAAAUACACUUAACGUAAAGUCAUAAAUAAUUGUACGAUUAUAUGAAGUUCUGUACAAUCAUAUGGAGCUAAAAUCAUAAUUGAGUGUAGAGAUUAAGUAGUACAUAUAAUUUAAAAUAUUACUUCCUAACUUCUUCACAAGUAUUCACAUCUAAAAAUUUGACUUUAAAAAGCUUAUCAAGUGUUGCGCAUAUUACGCGGAUCCAUGGGCGGAUCCAGCAUGGGCCCAUGCCCCCCACAAACAUUUUGCAAACAAAAUUUUACUAGUAAAUAUGUAUGUCCAUUAUCUAAUCUUGUACUAGGCUAAUAAUAAGCAUAGACAUAUCUCUACUCCUAAUGGAUGAGUUGGUUGAAUAGUCCCACCACUUUCGUCUGAUUUUUUUUCGUCUGGUUUUUUUCGUCCGGUUUUUCUUCGUAUGUCCUCCCACCACCACCGCCACUUCCAUCGGUUUAUUUUUGCCCCACACCUAUUUUCAGUCCCAUGCUCGUCACAACAAAUAACCUACGAAGACGCAGGUCUCAUUCCAGAUAACCCUAGCCGCCGCCGCUGAUCUCCCCUCCUCCCCUAACGGCAGUUGCACGCCAUUCUUUUCCCCUUCCUCUUGCUAACGGCGUCCCUCCACUCCGCGACACAUAUCGGUCGACGUGGGCGGGGCUCAUGGCGAUCCCCAGUCGGGCUACAUAGGGCCGACGACGAUCUGGACAGGGGCGGUUUGAGGCGCUCGCGCACAUCUAAGGUCCAGUGGUGGCCGCGUCCUGCAUCAAAGGUGCGACUAGGAAUCAGAGGAGGAUAUGGGAGAGCAGGAGGAAGGGACCGGGGAGCGGCUCACCGAUUCGGAGACGCUCACCGGAGGUUGGCUGGCGGCUGGUUCACAUGGCAACGGCGACGCGCGUGUGGCGUCCUCCCUGUUGCCACUACUAGGAAAAUGCUUACAAAUAGAAGUUUACCAGUAGCGCCUGUUUAUGACCACACGCUACUGGUAUUUUGUGUAGAAAACACACUACUACUACUAAAUAACAACAUCGUUUGUUAGCUUGGGCCGCGCUGCUGUUACAUGGGCCGCAGGGCAAAAACGGUAGCCCACUUACCUGUAGCGUUUGUUUCGAACGGGCGCUAUAGCUGGUGGGCUUAGUAGUAGCGCCGGCCUCUACCCAGCGCUACUACUAGAGGAAAAGAAAACCGGCCCGAGCGCCCCCACCCCUCACUCCGACAUUAUCGAUCCCCUCCGCCUGACGACGCCGCCACGGUUAGGAUUCCUCCCCGGCCGCCUCACCCCCGUCGACGGUGCCGUGCGCCGUCACCAUGCACGGUCGCCUCUCGUCUCCUCCGACGCUCCAGCCCCGUAAGUCCCCCUCCAUCUCCUCCUCCUUGCGCGUGUCACCACUAGCUAGCUAGGCUUCGACCGAUUCGCCGCGGCGGCUCGAGCGAGUCGACGACCUCGCGCAUGGUGGGGCGGUUCUUGGGCACGUUGUGCAGGCAGUUGUACUCCACCGUGGCGGCCUUGGCCAGCCCGAAGUCCGACAACUUCGCCGUGAAGUGCGUGCACGGUUGUGUUAGGUGGAAGUGUACUAAAUUGUUGUGUAUUUGUUGACAUUUAUACUACGUGGUUAUCUUAUCGGGGGUGUCAAGUAAGGUGGCUGGGUUAGGUGAUCAUACUAGAUGUAUACAAGGUGUGGUUGAUGGUGUGACUAUGUUGGCCGGCUCCUGCAGCUUGUGCGUUCUAGCUGGUGCUAAAUAUGGCCUAGCCUAGGAGAAUUAAGAACACAACAGCUGGUCAAUUUUGUAUCCUCGAGUGCAUGUUUCGCUUGCACAGAAGAGACAGAAAAGUGUAGAGAGUAGAGAGAGGGGUUAGGUGAGAGUAGAGAGAGGGGUUAGGUGAGGAACUAAUCCAGAUGCACAAGUUUGGUCAGCCAAACUUGGUCGAAUCCAGGAGACAGAAAAGGAAGCGGGUAGAGGCGGGAGGGGGGAAUUGAGGGCAGCAGAAGGGAGCGAGUGAACUGACCUGAGCGAGGGGGGGAUUAAGGGCAUCAGAAGGGUGGAGGCUUGGUUUCUUCUUCCUUGUCUACUGUCCCUGGAGCAGUGACGGCGGCGGCAGUGCCUAGUGUUCUAGGGUUUAGAGAGGGGUUCUCUCUCUCGUCCUGCCUUGGCUUUUGUUUAGUGGCGGUGGCGGUGCCUAGUGUAAUAGGGUUUAGAGAGGGGUUCUCUCUCUCGAUUGAACUACUUUUGCUUGUAUGCAUGCGCAAUAAUGGCAAUAUGCCAUUUAUCUUAUUAUUAGGCUCUGUUUGGGUUACAUGAUCUCUAUUAAGUCAUUGUCUAAAUUGAACUAUAAUUUAGUUAUUAAUUUGCUUGCCAUGUGAACCUGAUGUGUAUUCUCUAUGAUGUGAACGUGACGUGUAGAUUAUUCAAAACCUGAUGUGUAUUGAAAACUUUAUGUUUACUUUUUGAAUUAUUAAUCCUUUAAUCAUAUUGCUUUAGGGAAAUGGCGCCACCACCACCACCACCAUGUCGGCGGUGCAAGUCAAGGUGCGCCAGCAGCCUUGCAACUGGCACGCUGUUCGGCAUCUACUUAGAGUCUAGUUUUCUUCAUGCGGCGGUAAUAAAUUAUAUGAAACUAGUAACCACUAUAUUGUUUUUAGUGUUAUUGGCAUUAAUGCAUCGUUUAUAUACCACUUUGCUUUUUGUACACAGAUCGUCCCAUGCAAUGUGAGGUCAGAAUUCAACAAGCUGACCGAAGACUCUGUGACCUUUGAGGCUCCCGGGGGCCCCUACACUAUGGAGGUCAAGAAAGGGCAAAAUAUGACGCGGGUGGGAGGAGAUGGAUGGGUCCGUUUCAUCGCCCACAUGUGUAUCACCGGUGGUGAGUUGAUCAGCUUCUCCUUCAGAGCAGAAAGACCCAAGCUGGCCGUGAUUUAUGUCAACAAAGCAGAAGAUGAUGAAGAUGAUGAGGAUGAUGAGGAUGAUGACGACCCACUUGGUGAAGCCAUCGUAGCUCAAAGAAUGAGGUUGAGCGAGGAGGAGGUGUGCAACCUAUGGGACAUCAUUCCGCCAUGUGCUGACUUCGUCAGGGUGCCAUUCAUGACCCUCCUAACAAGUACCAUGGUUGAUCGGCAUAUCAUGGGAUGUUGCAUUUACUGUAGUAAUUUGAUGAUAUGCUUUAUUGUUAUACUUAGUGUAGAGUCCGAUGAUAUAUAUGCUUAGUGAAUCUUAUAUUCUAAGUGAAUCUUAUAUGCUUAGUGUUGGGGAUAUAACUACUGAGUAUAAACCGCCCAGGAGGGAUCGGGUUAUACUCACAAGGAAUCAUCUGUAUUGAAGCCCAUGAAGACAAGGAGUAUGGCGCUUUACUACAGAGACUAAAAGGCCUAGAGCCCAAGGGCGGAUUAUGGCCCAUAGACAUAAACCGCCAUGAGAUUUGUAACUUGUGUUGUAAGAUAGGAAAAGAAAGAAACUGAGCCGGACACAUUUGUAUGAGCCGGCCUCGGGAUUCUGUAGACCGCCGGGCAUCGACCUGUGUAUAUAAAGGGACGACCCGGCGGCGAUUCAGGGACAAGAAACAACAAGUCGAGAGAUAGGUAAAGCGGAUUCGCUCCCUGCUCAUCGAGACCCCAUCAAUUCCACCACAACUGGAUCGUCGGCUUUUACCUUCACCGCAAGGGGCCGAACUAGUAUAAACUCCCCGUGUCCUUUGUCCGGUUUAACCCCUUUAAGGUAAUCUCGUUGUGAUGGCUCCACCACUAAGUCCUCUCAUUAGGACAUCCGACGUGUUAAUUCCACGACAGUUGGCACCCACCGUGGGGCUAUCGCAUGAUGGUUUUGCGUUCUUAAAGGGAAACUUUAAAGGACUCAAGGGAUACGUGGUUGGCCGGAUGACUAAGAGUCGUCGCGGCAAGCUCUACAUCGACGACGUAGGCUGGGGCCCCGAGGUAGGCUCAAUCGAGUAGGGGUACCAGGUCCCCUUUGGAGGAAUUCAAGUCUUCAUCGGCAAGAUCGGCAAACCGGGCCCUGAGCCGGACAUCUGCACCGACCUCGUCGAGACGACUCAGCGUGCAAGCCCUGCCCGGGUUCAGCCCACCAUGAAGCGUGCGUUCGUGGGAUUCAUCCAUGGUGCAGAAUCUGAGCCGGUGUCCGAUGAUGAGACGGUCGUUUAUUCUGAUGAAGAAUCAUCCAUCGGCGUGACCGAGUCGCUGUACCAGCUACAAGAUGGCCGGUUCGGGGGCUAUUUUGAUGGCGACAAUAUUUCAGACUCAUUCGAACCGCCAAACCGGGUUGCGAUCUUCAUGGCCGGUACGCAGCCCACAUUGCAAUAUUCAACUGCAGCAGCAAUGACUUCCGGAUCGGCAACCGGGGCAGGACGCCCCAUGCGCCGGCCGGCUCAAGUUCUGUCCGGUUUAUUAGACUCCUGGACGACAUUGUUGACCACAUCAGUCACCCCGGAGACUCAAGAUCGGCAUAAUGCGGAGGUCACAAAGCUGCGGGAUCAGAUAACUCAGGACAAGGAGGACUUGGCGGCUGAGGAGACUAGGAUGGCUGAUGAGCGGGCCGCUUUAGAUGCCCAGUCACAGCAGAUUCAGGCAGAGAAUUACCGGCUCAUGCUGGAUCAGAAUGCUUCGAACGAAGUAUUGAGGAGGAGGCAUCGGUCUCGUCUACCGCUGGUUUACGAAGCAAUGAAUCUCUUCAACAUGCCAGGAGCAGGACCCAGUUAUCCGGCAGCCACAAACCGGACUGAAGCACCUGGGACAGGAGCACCGGAUCAGCCACGGGUGACGGACCCGCCUCGACGGACAGAUGAUCCACCACAAUACAUUCUGUCCCCGCCGGGUCACUUCUCCACUCCUUUGGACAACAUGAUUGCUGCAGCGUCUUGAUUGGCAGCUAUUCCAAUGGAGGGCGAGUCUCCAGCGGUGGUUGAGACGCGUCGGGCCAGGGAUCUUCUUCAAACCGCUAUGGUGCAGCAGCAGGCCUAUUCAUAUAGCCGAGACAUAAUCCAUUCAACCCCUCGCCUGAGCAAGAGUUACAGCAGGCAUGUUGAUGAACCGGCUGUAUCAAGCAGUGCGCGGAACCGUGACGCCCCUCGAGGGCCUAAUCCGGCGCGCGGUGGUGCCAAUGCUUAGGAUGUGGUGGAUAAUGGUAGAGCGCGUCGGGAGGCCGAGUUAGCAGCGCAGUAUGCGAAUCAUCAGCCUACUCCAGUUCGACCGACAACGUCAGUGGAACGAGGACUUGCUUUCAGCUCUUGGGGGUGUCGUGUCUCACCCCGGCUCUAUGCAAUGUACGGUUACCCAAGGAUUUCAAGGGUCCGCUUAAGGUGCCUAAUUACACCGCUGAUUUACCCCCGAGUCAUGGGUGGAAGGCUAUGAGAUGGCAAUGGAGAUGCUGGAUGUGGAUGAAGCGACGUGUGCAAAGUACUUCACCAUGAUGUUGGAUGGAAUGACUCGCACUUGGUUAAAGAGUUUGCCUGUCAACUCCGUCGGUUCAUGGGCCGAGUUGAACGCCUGGUUUAUAGCAAAUUUCAAAGACACAUGCAAGCAACCCAUGUCAAUUGUGGAUCUGGCCGCUUGUAUCCAAGGAGAAGGCGAAUCAACAACCCAUUGGGUGCCCCGGGUUUUGGAAAUCCUGCAUUCAUUGGACCGUAUCAAUGCCGACUCGGCAAUUAUAACAUUGGAGGGCAAUUGCCGGUUUAAGCCGCUGAAGAUAAAGUUAGGACGGCUCAAGCGUCACUGCAAUGACAUGUGAACACUCAUGGCAGCUUUGGUUAAGUAUGCCGAUUCUGAUAGUACCAAGGAUCCCGAGUCUGAUGAGGAAAGGCCGGGGAAGGGAAAGAAGAGCGGCAACACCAAGGGGCAAUAACAUAAUCCGGCAGGCCACCGAAACAAUGAUAAGCGUAAAAUGGAUAGUUUGGAUUUUGUGGCUAACACCAAUGUGCAGGGUAAUGCUCAACGUCGUAAGGGUAAACCGCCCCAGCGGGGUGUAGGCAUUAAUCUGGAGCGCCUACUAAACCAGCCUUGCCCAAAGCACGGGACGAAAGAGAAUCUAGCCACGCACCUCUAGAAGGAUUGCUUCAUUAUGCGAGAGUUCAAAAACUCCGAUCUUUUCUGAUAUGAUCAGGGUCCAUCUGGCGGUUCAUGUCCUAGAUCUCACGAGCCGGUUUACGGCGGAGGCGGUUCAAGCUCAGGAUUUCAGGGUAAUCAGGACAAUUAGAACAACCUGGGUGGUCACAACCAGCAGAAUAAUCAGGGGAAUCAACAACAAUCGGGUUAUCAGAGUCACCCGAAGCAGUUGAAUAGUGGGCAGUAUCAUGUUUUCACCACUAGCUUGUGUAAGAGCGAUCAAAAGCUUCACAAAAGGACAGUUAAUUCUGUCGAUCCGACGGUGCCCCGUUACUUGCGCUGGUCUGAGCAGCCCAUCGUGUGGAGCGGAGAGGAUCAUCCGCCCCAAGUUGAUAAUCCGGGUCAUCUGGCUUUGGUGGUGGCACCUCAGGUUGGGGGUUAUAAGUUCACCAAGGUACUCAUGGAUGGAGGGAGCAACAUCAACAUCCGGUAUUAUUAAACCUUCCGUCGCAUGGGGUUGACGGAUAAGAAUCUUAAACCGUCAAACACUGUUUUUCACGCUGUGGUACCAGGUAAAUCGGCAUACCCGGUUGGCAAGAUAGCUCUAGAAGUUGUGUUUGGAGAUGAUCGUGAUUCCAGGUCCGAAACCUUAACCUUUGAGGUGGUGAAAAUCCAUAGCCCAUAUCACGCCCUGUUUGGACGGCCGGCUUAUGCAUGGUUCAUGGCAAGGCCCUGUUAUGUUUAUCUACAGUUAAAAUGUCGGGUCAUAAGGGGGCCAUCAUAGUACACGAAAGCCGAAAAGUCACUUUGGAAUGUGAGGAAGGUGAUGCGGCUUACGCUGAGUCGGUUUGUGCAACAAAGGAGUUAAAGUUUUAUAAGGACAAUGUUGAUCCGGCGGACAUGACUUGUUUAAAUAAACCCACUACAGAGCAUGAUCCGGCUUUGAAGUUUAAAUCGGCUGAUGAGACUAAGUUGGUUGAUUUUGUUCCUGCCGAUUCAUCCAAACAGUUUAGUAUCAACACUAACCUGGAUCCGAAAUAGGAAAGCGCGCUUAUCGAGUUCAUCCGUGAGAACCGGGAUAUCAUUGCAUGGAAACCAUCUGACAUGCCAGGUGUACCGAGGGAACUCGCUGAGCACAAUCUCAAUAUUGAUCCCAAGUUUAAACCGAUCAAGCAGUUUCUUCGCCGCUUCAAUGAAGAAUAGUGCAAGGCUAUUGGUGAGGAGGUAGCCCGGCUUUUGGUGGCUGGGUUUAUCAUUGAGUUUUUUCAUCCGGAGUGGCUGGCGAAUCUGGUGCUGGUGCUUAAGAAGAAUGACACUUGGCGCAUGUGUGUGGAUUACUUGGACUUGAACAAGGCUUGUCCGGCUGAUCCUUUUUCUCUCCCUCAUAUUGAUCAGAUCAUUGAUGCUACGGCGGGUUGUGAGCGUUUGAGUUUCUUGGAUGCUUAUUCUAGUUAUCAACAAAUCAAGAUGGCAGUUAAGGACCAGGAGAAAACAACUUUUAUAACUCCCUUUGGAGCCUUCUGCUCUAUGUCCAUGCCUUUUGGGUCAAGAGUGCUCAAGCGACUUAUCAGCGAUGUGUGAUGAAUUGUCUUCAUAAUCAAAUUGGGCACAAUGUUCAUGCUUAUGUGGACGAUAUUGUGGUAAAGUCCAGAAAGAAGGAGACACUGAUAGAUGACUUGAAGGAAACUUUUGAAAUUCUUCGGGUUUAUAAGAUGAUGCUUAAUCCGGCCAAGUGCGUCUUCGGUGUUCCGACAGGCAAACUCUUGGGUUUUCUGGUGUCAAACAGGGGUAUUUAGGCUAAUCCGGAAAAGAUCAAGGCUAUUAUGUCUCUGGCUAAACUGCCGUGUAUCAACGAUGUUCAACGUUUGGCGGGUCGCAUUGCAGCCCUGAGCCGGUUUAUCAGCGGGUUGGGAGAGAAGGCGAUCCCUCUGUAUCAGAUGAUGAAGAAGACAUACAAUUUUGUCUGGAGUGAUGCUGCUAAUGCGGCGUUUGAGGACUUGAAGAAGCAGUUGGCAGAGCCACCGGUCCUUGCUGCUCCAGUCGAUAACGAGCCCUUGUUGUUAUAUGUGGCUGCCAAUGCCCGGGCUGUCAGUGUGGCUAUUGUGGUAGAGCACAUGGAGGCUGGGAAGGAAUAUCCGGUUCAACGGCCGGUUUAUUAUAUCAGCGAAGUGCUCAUCGAGUCAAAGCAAAGAUAUCCGCAUUGACAGAAGCUUGUGUAUGGGGUUUUUAUGGCAAGCCGGAAGCUUAAGCAAUACUUUCAGGGCCAUCCCAUCAUAGUGGUCAGUUCUGCUUCUUUGGGAGACAUAAUCCAGAAUAGGGAGGCAAUUGGCCGGGUCGCUAAGUGGGCUAUUGAGCUUGGACCGCAUGGGUGGAAAUAUAUGCCUCAGACGGCUAUCAGGUCCCAGGCGCUUGUGGACUUCAUUAAUGACUGGACAGUGUUGCACGCACCGGAAGACAAACCGGAUAACACAUACUGGACUAUCCACUUCGACUGGUCCAGGCAAUUGGAGGGCUCGGGGGCUAGAGUUUCCCUUACUUCCCCUCGAGGUGAUAAAAUUCGUUAUGUUCUCCGUUUGAUGUUUCCCUGUACUAACAAUGCAGCUGAGUACGAGGCUUUGCUCCACGGCCUUCGGGUGGCUAAGUAAAUGAACUUAAGCCGAGUACGAUGCUUUGGGGACUCUGAUCUGGUGGCUCAGCAAGUCUCUGGUACUUGGGAUUCUAAGGAUCCACUCAUGGCGGCUUAUCGACGAGAGGUGGAUAUUGUUGCUGGUCACUUCAAGGGUUAUCAGGUUGAGCACAUUGAUAGGCGCAAAAAUGAAGCGGCAGAUGCUUUAAGCCGGCUGGGGUCUCAGCGUAAACCGGUGCCGCCCAAUACCUUUCUGGAUGUUUUGCAUAACCCGCCAGUCAAGUUACCUACAGAGGAGGACCUGGCUAUUCUUGAUCCGGAGUCUCAGUUGGUGGCUGCUCUGCAUAUUAUUCCGGAUUGGACGGUUCCAUAUUUGGCGUAUAUAAACAGAGGCGAGUUACCAGAAGAUGAAGUUUUGGCCAGACAGAUAAUCCGGCGAUCCAAGUCCAUGAUUAUUCACAAUGGCGAGUUACAUCACUUAAGUGUCUCGGGGGCGUUCUAGCGCUGUGUUUCCCCUGAAGAAGUCAGUGAGAUUUUUCACGAGGUCCACGAAGGCGACUAUGGUCACCAUGCCGGUUCAAAAUCCUUGGUUGCUAAAGCUUUUUGUCAUGGCUUCUAUUGGCUGACGGCUCAUGCUGACGCUGAGGACUUGGUGAAAAGGUGCAACGGUUGUCAGAAAUUUUCACGCCGAGCUCAUGUUCCGGCUCAAGAGCUAAGGAUGAUUCCAAUCACUUGGCCUUUUGCUACUUGGGGGCUUGAUAUGGUAGGGCCUUUAAGCGGUCCAAGGAUAAGAAGACCCACCUUUUGGUGGCUAUUGAUAAGUUCACUAAAUGGGUUGAGGCGGAGCCAGUAAGCAAGUGUGAUGCAGCCACAGCGGUUCAAUUCAUGAAGAAGGUGAUCUUCCGCUUCGGUUUUCCACACAACAUCAUAACAAAUAAUGGCACGAACCUCUCCAAAGGUGCUAUGGAGGACUUUUGUCAACAAGAGCACAUCCAGCUUGAUGUGUCAUCGGUGGCUCACCCCCAGUCCAAUGGUCAAGCUGAGAGAGAUAAUCAGGAAAUUUUGAAGGGUAUCAAGCCCCGGCUUAUGGUUCCUUUAAAGAGGACGCUGGAUUGUUGGGUGGAGGAAUUGCCUUCUAUGUUAUGGAGCAUUAACACCACCCCCAAUCGAUCUACGGGUUAUACACCUUUCUUCAUGGUCUACGGGGCAGAGGCAGUACUCCCCAGUGAUAUUCGUCAUGACUCGCCCUGGGUUGCCAAUUAUGUUGAAGCGGACAAUGAACAAGCACGCCAAGAAGCACUGGACCUGUUAGAUGAAAAAUGAGACAUGGUGGCGGCUCGUUCGGCGAUUUAUCAGCAAGACCUGUGGCGUUAUCACAGCCUCCGGGUUAAGACCAGAACUUUUCAAGAAGGCGACUUAGUGCUCCGGCUCAUCCAGGAUCAGACUGAUAUGCACAAGUUAUCCCCACCUUGGGAAGGGCCCUUUGUGGUCAGCAAGAACCUGAACAAUGGGUCAUACCACCUCAUCGACGUUCGAGAGCACAAAGGCUCACGCAAAUCAGAGGAGGAGACCCGUCGGACGUGGAAUAUUGCUCAUCUUCGGCCUUACUACACCUGAGCCAUAGGCUCCUAUUAUGUACAUAUUUUGACAAUGUAUAUAUUAUGAUCAAUAUAAUGAACAGGCAUCCUUGCUAAAAGCAGGGCCUUUGCCAUUCUUCCAAUAUUUCUUGGUUACAUGGGGGCUUCUUCUUAUAAAGCGGAGUCCUGCUUGUCCAAUAAACCGGCUUAUAAAGCCACAACAAAGCUUGGGAGCUUCACACCCAAGGGGCCAAAGAGAGUUUGUUGCCAAGCACAGCUCAAACAUAUGCACCCACUGAGCACAGCUCAAAAAUGUUACUUGGGGGCUCUUUGUACAAAGCAACAAAGAGUUUGAAAGGACCCUUGUAAUAGGCUAUCGAUCCAGGCUUGGAAGCCAGGUGUAUUCACCUAAAACCCCAGGUUAACCUGCCUUCAUCAAGUAGGCCACUCCGUCCAGGUAAUCCUGGUAUGACCCGCCCAACGUUUGACAAGUCAAUCUAAUACAGACCCUGAACUUGUCAAAGUUAAAAUGACGAUUGGUUAAUUUGAGGUCCAUCUUAAAAGGCUUUGUGAAAUGGUUCAACUCAGCGGCCUGGCAUCCCAUAAAAAGCCUCAAAUUUGGGCCUGGAAGCCCUUGAAAAGCCUCGACUACACGAUAUUAUUUGCCUUUAUUUGUCAUAGUCUUUUCUCUUUUGAUAAGGAUUUAUGAUAAAACCGGCGUCUAUUGACCCGACCUGACUAUAAGUCAUCAGUCUAAACCAGUGUUUCUUAACCCGGCUUGUCUUUCAACAAUCAGUUGUUAGUACACAAUCAAUCAUGAACCGGUGUUUGUUAACCCGGCCUGGCUCUGACUAUAAGUCACCAGGAAGAUCAUCCGGUGUUUAUUGUAACCCGGCAUGGCAUUAUUAUAAACCAACAAAGCAUGGUGGGAGUUAUCAGCACUCCAGGUUUGGGUUACCACCCUUACUACAAGAAAGUUGGUAAACCAACUAAAAUCUUCAAUACCACAGGUAUGAUUUAUUUGAUAUUUAGUUAUCAUUACAACCUUGGUUACAAACCAUGGCUUUAUAUUGGGCAUUAUGACUCGUCCAGCGGAAAACCGCCAGGACAAUUUUUUAAGUCUAUGCAAAAACAGGAUUGCAUAAAGUUGCUAAAGGCACAUAAGCAGACACAUCAACAAUCAUGAUGGAUUAAACAGUGUUAUGCAGCAGUGCACGAUGGCAACAGAUCAAAGAAGUAUUUCAACUAGCCUAUUACAAGGCGCUUUGAUGCCCAAAAGAAUAAUUGUUUGUCGCACAGGUCGCAUUGUAUAGAAAUCAAACCGGCUUCCGGAUUAUGAUUCAGCACCAGGCUGAUAUGAAGAUGAUGCAUCAUCUUGCACCGGUUCAACCUCUGCCUCCCCACCCAGUGGCUGGAAGUCAAUGGUUGCCCAGUCAAUCCCAGCUAAAGCACGGAAGACAGCUUCCUCAUUGAUAAGGUCGGACGGUUCAACAUCAGGGGCAUAAGUAUGCUUACGGAUUGGCGGGAUAAGAUUUUGCGCUUCAUAAACCGACGCAUCAAUCCGUUUGUUGUCUACAUGAUAAAUUGACCGAUGGAAAGACAAGUCAGUCUCUUCGGCCAGUUUACUUGCAAGAGGGCGCAUCUCCUUUGUCAAAGCUCUAAGGGCAUCAUUGUCAAAUUCUGACCCAUCUUCUUUUUGGCUGAGGUAGCCAUUUCCAAUGUUCUCCGGAUCAAGAUCAACUAUCCAGGCCUUGGCCCGAGUUAAUGCAAACAAAGCACUAGCCCUUGUAGCUGAUCUCUUUACCUCCUCGAGCUGGGCAGGCGUCGUGGAUAACUUUGCCAAUGUGUCCUUGAUCAAGGUUUGAGGCGGUUUGUUGUAUGAUGUUGUGCAGAUGACCCAUUGAGCGCCGGUAUAUAACUGCUCUAUCAAAGUAUAGGCAGCCUUCAGUUUUUUGCGCAUGUCUGAACCAAGAUGGGCAACACGGCUACCUGCAAUGGUUACAAUAUUAUUGUUAAACCGGAGAUUUCAGGGAUGGUCAAGUACAGGUCAUGAAAGAGAUACUUACCAAACACAACAGAGGUCAUAACGUUGAUUUGUUGCUUCAGACCAGUUGAUUCUUUGGUCACCGGUUUAAGGGCCGUUUCAGCGUCUUCUGCCCGCUUUACCAGAGUUGUUUUCUCAGCAUCCCAAUUUGCCCGUUCAUUUUUGAAAUCCUCCUUCAAUUUUUCCAUGGAGGUUAAGGCGCUAGUCAGCUCAUCUUUUGUCUUGGACGCCUCUGCCUGCUGGGAUUUGAUGUUUUCUUGAAGAUUGGCGAGUUGGGAUUCUUUCUUCUUCAGAUCAUCCUGCAAAGGACAGUUAAACAAAUUUGUAGCGCAUCUUUGAAGUCCCAAGCACAUAACAAGUUAUACACUUGGCACUUGGGGGCUAAUUCCUAUCAUUUUUCAUCAACAGUAUGGUCAAGUCCCAAGGCUCAAUACAAGUAUUAAUCUUGGCACUUGGGGCCUAAUGCUUAAUUGAUCAGAUAAACCAGAUUUUAAUGAAUUCAACAAGGGUAAGCCUUACAACAGGAAGUCCCGGUUCAUCUUGAAGAGAUAAACCGGCCCUUGGGGGCUACACAGAUGACGUCUAUUUCUUAUUUUAUCAAACUCCCGGUUCAUCUACAAGAGAUAAAACCGGCCCUUGGGGGCUACUGGAGUUGAUAUUAUCAAUAACGCGAAAGGAAGGAAAAUUUAUGAAAAGUUCGAGCAGGAAUUACCUCAUUGCGCUCCUUCAUCAAGUUGACUAAAUCGGCUUCAUAGUCGUGGCUUGUGUACAUGCGGUUUAAAUAUCCAGAAUGCAAAUCUGGGGCGUUGAGGUGAGCAUAGUUUGAAAAAUCUGUCUUCUACUUGCCCUUAUCCACAGAAGAAAAUUCUUCCUUGGCACUAUAAUUUGAUAAAGCGACAGGGUUGCCAGGAGCAGCAUGACCGAAACCAGUAAUCACAACAUCAUCUGUGGUACCAUCAACAGUUUUUGCUGGGCUUGGCGAUUUAGCAGAUGUUCUUACUGGGCUUGGUGGAUCGACAGAAGGGCUUGGCGGAUCAGCAGGCUGGUUCAUUGUAUUUAUCUCACCCGGUUCAGUAAAAGUAUCCUAAACUUGAGGUGCCGGAUCAUCCAGGACAGUAUCAACAUUCGGUUCAUGAGCCUCUGAGGUUUUCUCCGGUUCAAUGGCCUGAUUAUCAUUAGUUGGUUUACUCAACUUAGCUCUCUUGCUAAGUCUGGCCUUGGCACUGAAGAAGGCAGACCCAGAAGUCAGUACAAUAAACCAGUACAAUAACCCAUUCUGCAGAGCUCCAAAAGUCCUAAAACUACAAGAAAUUCAUUUUUCGAAUUAAUAAAAAAUAUCUAGCGGAAGAAAUACCUGAGGGGGGCCACCCACCAUCCACGAGGGUGGGGGGUGUGCCCCCUGCCUUGUGGGCCACCUGGCAGCCCUCCGGUGCCCAUCUUCUACUAUAUAAAGUCUUUUACCCUGGAAAAAAUCAUAAGAAAGCUUACGGGACGAAACUCCGCCGCCACGAGGCGGAACCUUGGCGGAACCAAUCUAGGGCUCCGGCAGAACUGUUGUGUCGGGGAAACUUCCCUCCGGGAGGGGGAAAUCAUCACCAUCGUCAUCACCAAUGAUCCUCCCAUCGGGAGGGGUCAAUCUCCAUCAACAUCUUCACCAACACCAUCUCCUCUCAAACCCUAGUUCAUAUCUUGUAUCAAAUCUUUAUAGCAAAACCUCAGAUUGGUACAUGUGGGUUGCUAUUAGUGUUGAUUACUCCUUGUAGUUGAUGCUAGUUGGUUUAUUUGGUGGAAGAUCAUAUGUUUAGAUCCUUAAUGCAUAUUAAUACCCUGCUGAUUAUGAACAUGAAUAUGCUUUGUGAGUAGUUACGUUUGUUCCUGAGGAUAUGGGAGAAGUCUUGCUAUUAGUAGUCAUGUGAAUUUGGUAUUCAUUUGAUAUUUUGAUGAGAUGUAUGUUGUCUCUCCUCUAGUGGUGUUAUGUUAAGGUCGACUACAUGACACUUCACCAUUAUUUGGGCCUAGAGGAAGGCAUUGGGAAGUAAUAAGUAGAUGAUGGGUUUCUAGAGUGACAGAAGCUUAAACCCUAGUUUAUAAGUUGCUUCGUAAGGGGCUGAUUUGGAUCCAUAUGUUUCAUGCUAUGGUUAAGAUUACCUUAAUACUUCUUUUGCAGUUGAGGAUGCUUGCAAUAGAGGUUAAUCAUAAGUGGGAUGCUUGUCCAAGAAAGGGAAGUACCCAAGCACCGGUCCACCCAUGUAUCAAAUUAUCAAAGUAACAAACGCGAAUCAUAUGAGCGUGAUGAAAACUAGCUUGACGAUAAUUCCCAUGUGUCCUCAGGAGCGCUUUUCUCAUUAUAAGAACUUGUCCAGGCUUGUCCUUUGCUACAAAAAGGAUUGGGCCACCUUGCUGCACCUUAUUUACUUUCAUUGCUUGUUGUUACAAAUUAUCUUAUCACAAAACUAUCUGUUAACUACAAUUUUAGUGCUUGCAGAGAAUACCUUACUGAAAACCGCUUGUCAUUUCCUUCUGCUCAUCGUUGGGUUCAACACUCUUACUUAUCGAAAGGACUACGAUAGAUCCCCUACACUUGUGGGUCAUCAAGACUCUUUUCUGGCGCCGUUGCUGGGGAGUGAAGCGCCUUUGGUAAGUGGAACUUGGUAAGGAAACAUUUAUAUAGUGUGCUGAAAUUUACUGCCACUUGUUACUAAGGAAAACUAAUCCUUUGAGGGGCUUGUUCGGGGUAUCUUCACCACGACCAGUAGAGCAAAGAGUUGCUCCUGAACCUACUGAACCUACUGAAAAUGUUUACUUUGAAAUUCCUUCGGGUAUGGUAGAGAAACUGCUAGCUAAUCCCUUUGCAGGAGAUGGAACAUUGCAUCCCGAUUUACACCUUAUCUAUGUGGAUGAAGUUUGUGGAUUAUUUAAGCUUGCAUGUAUGCCCGAUGAUGUUAUUAAGAAGAAGAUUUUCCCUUUAUCUUUGAAGGGAGAUGCAUUUACAUGGUAUAGGCUAUGUGAUGAUAUGGGAUCCUGGGACUAUAAACGAUUGAAAUUGGAAUUUCACCAUAAGUUUUAUCCUAUGCAUCUUGUUCAUCAUGAUCGUAAUUAUAUAUAUAUAAUUUCUGGCCUCGCGAAGGAGAAAGCAUCGCUCAAGCUUGGGGGAGGCUUAAGUCAAUGUUAUAUUCAUGCCCCAAUCAUGAGAUCUCAAGAGAAAUGAUUAUUCAAAACUUUUAUGCUCGACUUUCUCUCAACAAUCGCACCAUGCUUGAUACUUCUUGUGAUGGGUCUUUUAUGAUGAAGAUUAUUGAAUUCAAAUGGGAUUUAUUGGAAAGAAUUAAAUGCAACUCUGAAGAUUGGGAUUCCGACGAUGGUAAGGAGACAGGUAUGACACCUAAGUUUGAUUGUGUUAAAUCUUUUAUGGAUACCGAUGCUUUUCGUGGAUUUAGCACUAAAUAUGGUCUUGACUCUGAGAUAGUAGCUUCUUUCUGUCAAUCAUUUGCUACUCAUGUUGAUCUCCCUAAGGAUAAGUGGUUUAAAUAUAAUCCUCCCACUGAAGUAAAAGAAGUUGCACCUAUUACAGUUGAAGAAAAGACUAUCACUUAUAAUGAUCCUACUGUUCCUACUACUUAUAUUGAGAAACCACCUUUCCCUGUUAGGAUAAAGGAUCAUGCUGAAGAUUCAACCUUGAUCGAGUUUUGCAGAGAUGUGAAGAUACUAGUCUUGUCUUGAAUUAGGAAAAGUGCCACUUUAUGGUUAAUGAAGGAAUUGUCUUGGGGCAUAAAAUUUCUGAGAGAGGUAUUGAAGUUGAUAAAGCUAAGGUUGAUGCUAUUGAGAAGAUGCCAUGUCCCAAGGACAUUAAAGGUAUAAUAAGUUUCCUUGGUCAUGCCGGUUUUUAUAGGAGGUUCAUUAAGGACUUUUCUAAAAUUUCUAGGCCUCUGACUAAGCUAUUGCAAAAAGAUAUUUCUUUUAUCUUGGAUGAGGAUUGUGUAGAAGAAUUUGAAAUAUUCAAGAAAGCUUUGAUUUCCGCACCUAUUGUUUAGCCACCCAAUUGGAAUUUACCCUUUGAAAUUAUGUGUGAUGCUAGCGAUUAUGCUGUAGGUGCUGUUCUAGGACAAAGAGUUGAUAAGAAACUAAAUGUUAUUCAAUAUGCUAGUAAAACUGUAGACUCUGCCCAGAGAAAUUAUGCUACUACUGAAAAACAAUUCUUAGCAGUUGUAUUUGCUUGUGAUAAGUUCAAACCUUAUAUUGUUGAUUCUAAUGUAGCUGUUCACACUGAUCAUGCUGCUAUUAAAUAUCUUAUGGAAAAGAAAGAUGCUAAACCUAAAAUUAUUAGAUGGGUUCUCUUGCUACAUGGAUUUGAUUUGUAUAUUAUUGACAAAAAGGGAGCUGAGAACCCCGUUGCAGACAACUUGUCUAGGUUAGAGAAUGUUCUUGAUGACCCACUACCUAUUAAUGAUAGCUUCCCUGAUGAACAAUUAGCUGUCAUAAAUGCUUCUUGUACUGCUCCAUGGUGUGCUGAUUAUGCUAAUUACAUUGUUGCUAAAUUCAUACCACCUAGUUUCACAUACCAGCAAAAGAGAAAGUUCUUUUAUGAUUUAAGACAUUACUUCUGGGAUGACCCACACCUUUAUAAAGAAGAAGUAGAUGGUGUUAUUAGACGUUGUGUACCUGAGCAUGAACAGGAACAGAUCCUACGCAAGUGUCACUCCGAGGCAUAUGGAGGACACCAUGCUGGAGAUAGAACUACACAUAAGGUAUUGCAAUCCGGUUUUUAUUGGCCUACUCUCUUCAAAGAUGCCCGUAAGUUUGUCUUGUCUUGUGAUGAAUGUCAAAGAAUUGGUAAUAUUAGUAGACGUGAAGAAAUGCCUAUGAAUUAUUCUCUUGUUAUUGAACCAUUUGAUGUUUGGGGCUUUGAUUAUAUGGGACCGUUUCCUACCUCUAAUGGGUAUACACAUAUUUCAGUUGUUGUGUUGAUUAUGUUACUAAGUGGGUAGAAGCUAUUCCAACUAGUAGUGCUGAUCAUAACACCUCUAUUAAGAUGCUUAAAGAAGUUAUUUUUCCGAGAUUUGGAGUCCCUAAAUACUGAAUGACUGAUGGUGGUUUUCAUUUUAUUCAUGGUGCUUUACCUAAAAUGCUUGCUAAAUAUGAUGUUAAUCAUAGAAUUGCAUCUCCAUAUCACCCAUAGUCUAGUGGUCAAGUAGAAUUGAGCAAUAGAGAGAUUAAAUUAAUUUUGCAAAAGACUGUUAAUAGAUCCAGAAAGAAUUGGUCCAAGAAACUUGAUGAUGCAUUAUGGGCUUAUAGAACUCCAUAUAAAAAUCCUAUGGUUAUGUCUCCAUAUAAAAUGGUUUAUGGAAAAGCAUGUCACUUACCUCUCGAACUUGAACAUAAGGCAUAUUGGGCCAUUAAAGAGCUCAACUAUGAUUUCAAACUUGCCGGUGAGAAGAGAUUAUUUGACAUUAGCUCACUUGAUGAAUGGAGAACCCAAGCCUAUGAGAAUGCCAAACUGUUUAAAGAAAAAGUUAAAAGAUGGUAUGACAAAAGGAUACAAAAGCGUGAGUUUAACUUAGGUGAUUAUGUGUUGCUUUUCAACUCUCGUUUAAGAUUUUUUGCAGGAAAGCAUCUCUCUAAAUGGGAAGGCCCUUACGUUAUCGAGGAGGUCUAUCGUUCCGGUGCCAUAAAAAUCAACAACUACGAAGGCACAAAUCCAAAGGUGGUGAACCGUCAAAGAAUCAAACAUUAUAUCUCAGGUAAUCCUGUAAAUGUUGAAACUAAUAUUAUUGAAAUCGUAACCCCGGAGGAAUACAUAAGAGACACUUUCUAGAACAUUUCAGACUCCGAAAAGGAAUAGGUAUGUGGUACCGUAAGUAAACCGACUCCAAAACAGUUCUAAUAUCAAUUUUUCUCUGUUUUGGAACAUGUAAGAAAAAAGGAAAAUAAGAAGUAGUCCGGGAAGGACACGUGGCAUCCACAAGGGUGGAGGGCGCGCCCCCUGCCUCAUGGGCACCUCGUGUGCUCUCCGGACUCUGUUUUCUUGCACGACACUUCUUUCGAUCGGUAAAAAAUCAUUAUAUAAUCUCCCGAAGGUUUUGACCACCGUAUCAUGCAAAAAUCCUCUUUUUGUCUUGAGCUGUUUCUGCCGCAGAUAAGAGCAAUAUGUCAUCCCAGGAUUCGGAGGGAGAAAGCUAUGUGGCUGAUUACCUUGCGGACCCUAAGGUCUAUGGAGACGUGGAGCACUCUGGCUGGACCACUAAGGGAGAAGAAGACUACGAGCCUAAGGGAAAGGAGGAGACGAGCUCAGAUGAAGAUAAAGCCCCAUUACCUCAACUUGGGGAUAUGCAUGUGGAGUUUAAAAAGUCAAGCCUCCCUGAUAGGACAAAUAAACCAAAGAUCGAGUUUAUUCCUUUUCGUCUCUUGCAGGAAAACAAACAGGAACUAUUAUUGUUGACAUUACCCCGUGUUGGAAAGAUCCUGAUAUAUAUAUCCAAUUGGAUGUAAGUUAGCAUGAAUUAUUAUUGUUGACAUUACCCUUGCAGUAAAAGGUUGGGAUGCAACACUUUAAGCCCCUAACUUACUCUGUGUACGAUUAAAACUCCAUAGCCAUAAGUAUUGCAUGAGUGUUAGCAAUAAUGAAAGACUAAAUGAUAGUUCAGUAUGUGGACUUGCUGAAAAGCUCUUAUGUUGACUCUUUCCUAUGUUAUGAUAAAUUGCAAUUGCUUCAAUGACAGAGAUUAUAGUUUGAUAGUUCUCAAUGAAGUUUUGAAUCAUACUUGACAUUGUGAAUAGAUUGUUAAUUGAGUAUAAGAAAUCAUAUGACAAAUAUAUAUAUGUUGCUGUUAUAAGAAUGAUCAUGAUGCCCUCAUGUCCGUAUUUUAUUUUAUUGACACCUCUAUCUCUAAACAUGUGGACAUAUUUUCGAUAUCGGCUUUCGCUUGAGGACAAGCAAGGUCUAAGCUUGGGGGAGUUGAUACAUCCAUUUUGCAUCAUGCUUUUAUAUCGAUAUUUAUUGCAUUAUGGGUUGUUAUUACACGUUAUGUCACAAUCCUUAUGGCUAUUCUCUCUUAUUUUACAAGGUUUACAUGGAGAGGGAGUAUGCCAGUAGCUGGGAUUCUGGGCUGGAAAAGGAGAAAAUAUUAGGGACCUAUUCUGCACAGCUCCAAAAGUCCUAAAACUCCACGAAAGUCAUUUUGGGAAUUAAUAAAAAAUAUACAGCGGAAGAAAUACCUGAGGGGGGCAACCCACCAUCCACGAGGGUGGGGGCGCACCCUACUCCUCUGGGCGUGCCCCCUGCCUUGUGGGCCACCUGGCAGCCCUCCGGUGCCCAUCUUCUGCUAUAUGAAUUCUUUUACCCUGGAAAAAAACAUAAGAAAGCUUACGGGACGAAACUCCGCCGCCACGAGGCGGAACCUUGGCGGAACCAAUCUAGGGCUCCGGCGGAGCUGUUCUGCCGGGGAAACUUCCCUCCGGGAGGGGGAAAUCAUCACCAUCGUCAUCACCAACAAUCCUCUCAUUGGGAGGGGGUCAAUCUCCAUCAACAUCUUCACCAGCACCAUCUCCUCUCAAACCCUAGUUCAUCUCGUGUACCAAAUCUUUGUAUCAAAACCUCAGAUUGGUACCUUAGGGUUGCUAGUAGUGUUGAUUACUCCUUGUAGUUGAUGCUAGUUGGUUUAUUUGGUGGAAGAUCAUAUGUUUAGAUUCUUAAUGUAUAUUAAUACCCCUCUGAUUAUGAACAUGAAUAUGCUUUGUGAGUAGUUAGUUUGUUCAUGAGGACAUGGGAGAAGUCUUGCUAUUAGUACUCAUGUGAAUUUGGUAUUCAUUUGAUAUUUUGAUGAGAUGUAUGUUGUCUCUCCUCUAGUGGUGUGAUGUGAACGUCGACUACAUGACACUUCACCAUUAUUUGGGCCUAGAUGAAGGCAUUUGGAAGUAAUAAGUAGAUGAUGGGUUGCUAGAGUGACAGAAGCUUAAACCCUAGUUUAUAAGUUGCUUCGUAAGGGGCUGAUUUGGAUCCUUAUGUUUCAUGCUAUGGUUAGGUUUACCUUAAUACUUCUUUUGUAGCUGCGGAUGCUUGCAAUAGGGGUUAAUCAUAAGUGGGAUGCUUGUACAAGAAAGGGCAAUACCCAAGCACCGGUCCACCCACAUAUCAAAUUAUCAAAGUAACGAUGUGAACCAUAUGAGCGUGAUGAAAACUAGCUUGACGAUAAUUCCCAUGUGUCCUCGAGAGCGCUUUUCUCAUUAUAAGAACUUGUCCAGGCUUGUCCUUUGCUACAAAAAGGAUUGGGCCACCUUGCUGCACCUUAUUUACUUUCAUUGCUUGUUACCCGUUACAAAUUAUCUUAUCACAAAACUAUCUAUUACCUACAACUUCAGUGCUUGCAGAGAAUACCUUACUGAAAACCGCUUGUGAUUUCCUUCUGCUCCUUGUUGGGUUCGACACUCUUACUUAUCGAAAGGACUACGAUAGAUCCCCUACACUUGUGAGUCAUCAGUUUGCUACACAAAAUGUACUACAUAUGAAUUAACAUGUAGUACAUUAUUUUUUCAUGAUGCAGGGGUAUUCAUAGUGAGUGCCAAUGUUUUUGCGAAGCGUGGAUUACGUUCCAUUUUGCUUAAUUUCUGGCACUCAAUAUAUCCAAUUUCUAUCAAGUUAUGUUGGGUCUUUUCCGUAACUUUAUUACUUUUUAGUGUAUGAGCUACAUACAAAGAUAUCUAAAUGUUUUAUCUAAAUGUGAAAUUGUUUAAUGCGAUUUAGAUGGAGAAGCCAAGAUGCCUUCUAAGGACUCCAACACCCAUAGACGGAAUUCCUAAUAUCGUAGACAUCACCCUGAGGGUGGCUCAGUACCUGGAGAUCAUGGGCGCCUAUGUCGAGAGUGCUUGAGCAGCCACCGAGAGCGCUCAGGCAUAUUCCGAGAGCGCUAGAGCAGCCGCUGAGAGUGCGCAAGCAACCGCCAAGAGUGCGCCAGCAGCCGUCGAAGCUGCAAGGACCACCCAAGCCGAGAUCGCGAAGAUGAUGGAAGGCGAAGAUAGCUCAUCAUGGAGGUGAACUUUUAUUUCUGUACAACUAGUGCAAUGCCUUCAUGUGAUCUAUAUGAUCGAUGUGUGUGAACUUAAUUUCUAAGUUGCUAUGAUGGAGCUAAACUUUUGCUUCCGAACUACUAGUGAACUGUGCACGAUGGUCAUUUCUAUCGUCUAUGAUGCUAUGAAGAUUAUGAUGUGACUUUCUUCUAUGUGAUUGGAUAACUAUAAAAUUAUCUUGUUAGCUUGUUUAUUUAUUUACUUAGAUGAAGUGGAACUGGUUUGUGGUGUACACCGGGAGUAAUCUUGGAAUUUAUGAUUCAUGGGAGAUAUGCAAGGAAAAACCCUAGUAGUAGCGCGGUUUUAAUGCCUACUAGUAGCACGUGUGGCCCCACUACUAGUAAGGCGCUGUAGCUAUUCCUUAGUAGUAGUGCGUGCGCACACGCUACUGCUAAGACAAAUAGCCGCAGUGUGUGUUGUUUCCAGCGCUACUGCUAAUCUAACUAGUAGUAGCAUGUUUCCGGUCCAGCGCUACUAGUAUACGGUUUUUUGGUGUAUUUAUACACCGUUAUACAAAUUGUUGUACAGUACCAAUUAUAAGGUUGUUAUAACAGUGUGUAAAAUGAAGGUGGAUUAGGUUCAAGUGGAGGCAGCAUGUGGUGCAUCUCGAAACUAUACUAUUAAUCCAAACUUGAUCUAGUUUGGAUUAGUAGUACUUUCGAUGUGCACCACAUGUUGCCUCCACUUGAAUCUAAUCCGCCAACACAAGCUAUUUAAUCAUCAUCAGUCAUUACCACCAACAUUAGCUAUUUAAUCAUCAUAGUCAUAGUGUAGCACAUUCUCAUCUUCAAACUCAUUCUAGCUAGCUAAUCACCACCAACACUAGCUACGGUAGCUAUCUAAUCACCACCAACACUAGCUAAUAAUAAUCAUCAUAGUCAUUACCACCAACACUAGCUACUUAAUCAUCACAGUCAAGUGUAGCACACCAUCAUCUUCAAACUCAUUAUAGCUAGCUAAUCACCCCCGCUGCUCUCUCUUAGGUAAAAUAGAAUAAAACAUGUGUAGCACUCCUGCUUCAUCAUAUUGGAGCAUGCAGAUGAACCUGUCUCAUAAUUGUGGGUUGCGUUUCUGAUUGCCGCCCUCUAGUACUUCUCUGUGAUCCUUCACAAUUUUGCUCCAAUCUUUGACUAUUAAGCAUUCCUCAGUGUUAGAAAUCCUGAAUGCACUAAAGUGCAAUGUAGGAUGUCUUGGCCAUAAGCUAACCAUGGACAUGUGACCUUUAGUCUCGAUCCAAUGAGGCACAACUAUCAUCGGGAGUCCCUGUUGAAGAACAUCAUAGUAACAUACUUAGCAAUGAAGUUUAGCUUAAAAAAUAAUGUAUGAAAAAGAUGCACCGAGGACAAAUAGUAGAAAUCUUACCAUGUUUCCUAAAUAGCUAUGACCGUAGUUCAAUACAAACACUAUUGGUCACAUGUUUUCAGUACUAAGAUUUUUAAGUCCAGAAAAUUAAUUUAUCUUGACAGCAUCAAGAUCCUCAAGGCAUGAAAAUUAAUGACUUAUCUCCUCGCAGUUUAGUUUAGCCCCGGGAGAGUGGACGGUCCUGUCUACCAAGCGCCGGACAUGUUUGCUUGAAUGGAAAUAAGAUGUCAAUAGAAAAUAGUUGUCAACUAUUUUUGAAUAAACAAUAUCGAAGACAUAAAUAUGGUUGAGAAACUCACAUAAUGGUAGAACUGGAGGCGUCUGCAUGUCGACCCAGAUGUCGAUAUUACCUUUAAUAUCAUCUUCCGAACGAAUAUCAAAGGUGAUAACCAUAUCAGGCUCAAAUGCAUAAGCCUUGCAUAGUUCUUGCCAAGUUUUGCAUUCAAAAUAGGUGUAGGUGUCUGCAUUGUAUAAUUUUGCGGCAAAACUAUAACCAUGCAUGGUGUUCAAGUUAACUCUCUUUACCUCCAUAGUUUUCAUAGGACUGAAACCAAUCUUAUCCAAGACAAAAAUUCUUGCAUUGCAUGGGAUAUGCUAGUAGAAUAGUAAAAAAUUAAAAUUAUAAGUUGAAGCAAAAGAAGAAGUCAUGCUUAAUUACGAAAAAGACUUGUCAUUGUGACUUAUUGUAUCCACUUUGAAGGUCUCAUCCAGUUUGAUGCUGAAGCGCCUACCAUCAACUAGGAAAUUUCUAUCGCACAGGCCACGCUCGUCUUUGCAGUAUUCACACAUACCGAAAUCCUUUUCGUCGUCAGACAUUUCCUAUGUUCAUAGUUGAAACAUUAAUUCAAAAUCGAUCAUUUAAUUCUCCUACUAGCAAAUCCGGGGCACUCGAUAUUUCCUACAUAUUCUCGCACAAGCCAUGCUUAAAUUCAUGGAAAAAUCCGGUAUGACCUUUGCUAAAAUAGGACAUAUUGAGUGCCUGGAAUUUGCCGGAACAGAAAUGAAUCAACACUCCGGCGAAACAUAGGCCACUCGGAGGCACAUUGCAAACAAGAAAACCAAGACAUCCUCUAUAUUCAGAAUGCAUCAUCAUCGACAUCAAUGACAUGUCAACUAUAUGGCACUAGCAUUUUCAUCAUCGACAUUUACAACACAUUCUCAUUUGGCUAUUCUCACCUAGAGGUCUUAAGGGGUCGACGAUGGGGACGACUUCGGGAUGAGGCAGAGGCAAACUUGAUUUUUGCAUAAACAAAAUAUAUUAACCACUAACUACAAAUAAACUAAUUCUAUUAAGCACUUACUAUAAAUAAACUAAUUCUAUUAAGCACUUACUAUAAAUAAACUAAUUCUAUUAAGCACUUACUAUGAAUAAACUAGUUCAAUUAAGCACUUGCUAUAAAUAAACUAGUUGUAUUAAGCACUUACUAUAAAUAACCUAGUUAGUUAACCUAUCUAGUUAACCUAGAUAAUUAACCUAAUUAAACUAGUUGACCAGCUAGCCAGCCUAGUUAACCUAGCUAGUUUGAAUUUUUUACUAAUUUACUAAAAAAAUCUACUCUUUGCAAGAACAGAGUGAGGAGAAGUGAGGGAGGGAGNNNNNNNNNNNNNNNNNNNNNNNNNNNNNNNNNNNNNNNNNNNNNNNNNNNNNNNNNNNNNNNNNNNNNNNNNNNNNNNNNNNNNNNNNNNNNNNNNNNNNNNNNNNNNNNNNNNNNNNNNNNNNNNNNNNNNNNNNNNNNNNNNNNNNNNNNNNNNNNNNNNNNNNNNNNNNNNNNNNNNNNNNNNNNNNNNNNNNNNNNNNNNNNNNNNNNNNNNNNNNNNNNNNNNNNNNNNNNNNNNNNNNNNNNNNNNNNNNNNNNNNNNNNNNNNNNNNNNNNNNNNNNNNNNNNNNNNNNNNNNNNNNNNNNNNNNNNNNNNNNNNNNNNNNNNNNNNNNNNNNNNNNNNNNNNNNNNNNNNNNNNNNNNNNNNNNGGGAGGAAGGAGGGAGGAGGAGGAGGGAGGUGGGGGCGGCCGGAGGAGGAGGAGGAGGAGGGAGUAGGGGGCGGCCGGAGGAGGCGGGAGGAGGGCGCAGUGGGAGGAGGAGGGAGAGGAGAGGGUAGGGCAUACCGAGGACGGCGGCGGCAAUGUGGUGGACGGCAAUGUGGCAGCGAUGGAGGAGCGAAGCAGCGGGGAGUGAAGGGAGGAAGAUGAUGGUCGGGGCGCAGGGGGCCGUAGGGAAAUUUUGGGAUAAGUCCCGAAUAGCAACACCGCGUUCCAAGGAAAAGCACUACUGCUAAGACCAAUAGCAGUAGUGUUGUCUGUGUACUACCGCUACUACUAUACCUAGCCUGUCGGAAACGGUGUGGCAGUUAUAGUAGUAGUGCUUUUCACGUGGAAUGCGCUACUGCUACUUACAUAGUAGUAGCGGUCUUGUACGCAACGCGCUACUGGUACAUAGCAGUAGCGCAUGUUUUUAACCAUCACUGCUGGUAAGAUUCUGUGUAUAAUGUUUUCCCUAGUAGUGCAAAAACAACUUCUAUAAAGGAUAUUAGACAAAAAAGGAAGCUGAGAAUCAUUAUGCAAAUUACUUCCGUAAAGUAGCUGAGGAACAUUAUGCCACAUUGUUCGCAAAGAGAAAACCAACUAUGAAUUAUGCAAGACCGUGUGGACAAGCGGACGGGUAGAGAAUUUGAUUAUCUUUAUCCAGCUCAUUGUCAUCAUGGUAUUGUUGUUAUCAUGAGGUCUAGUAUGUAUGUAUAUGUACUAAUGAUGCAAUGUCAAUUGUUGUAUUCUAAUGCGUGCGUAUAUUUGUAUUAAGCUUAGAUUAUUGUUAUGUUAAACGUAAUGUGUAUGAUCACUUCGUCAGUUGUAUGAUGUAAUGUGGUUAUUUAUAUGAUGUAAUGUAUAUUGCUGCUGUGGCUAAAGAAGUAGUUGUGGUAGGUGCCACAGAGGGCCUGUCACAACUAGUAUUAUAAACCAAUGGCGGGCAAGAAAGACUGCCAACCACUGCCAAGAUUCUACAAGUCGCGGGCGCGUGCCCGCCACUGAUGCCACUAUAGCAGUGGCGGAAGGUCAGUGGCGGGCGGCCCUGGGAGCCUGGCCCACCACUGCUGGACUUUUGGCGCCCGCCACUACUAGGCAUUCCUACAGUACUGUAAGAUCAAAUAUACUAUAUGCUUUUGUUUGCAAUGGAGAGAGAAGAGGCUGAUCACUAGUAGAAAACAGCCUAUUAGCCCCGGUUCCAGAGGCCCUUUAGCCCUGGUUCUCGAACUGGGACUAAAGGGUCAGGACUAAAGCCCAAACUCUAUAGUAUCGAUUCUCUUAUGAACCAGGACAGAAGGGGCUCCACGUGGCCACUGAGUGGCGCCCAGGCAGGAGGACCUUUAGUCCCAGUUGGUAAUACCAACCGGGACCAAAAGACAUCCACGCGUCAGCUUCUGGCAGGAGCUGGGGUUUUUGUUUUUUAAGGGGGGGGUACGGGUUUUGGAGAUUUAGGAGUUUCAUAUUGUGUUAGCUAGCUAAUAGAUAGAAGUACGUGUCCUCUCUUUCUCCGUGCUUGGGCGACGCUAGCUACCGAGAACUCGACACACUAGCUAGUAAGCAAAUGAAGGAACCAUUAAUUGCACAAGAUCACCGUGAACAUAUACAGAGAGGAGUGACCUCCCUUUCUCCGAGAGAUUGGUCGAACAACAAGUUUUCCUAUAUCUAUCCGACACUACUAGCUACAUAUAUACAAUCUAAGAUCUAUUACAAUCCCUAACAUAUCAUGUCUAUAUCAACUUCCACAUGGUAUUCUCCGGUUGGAUGUAUGACAUGAUCAAGAAAUAAUCCUGCCAAUUCCUCUUGAAUUGCUCGUAUGCGAUCAUGUGGUAGGAGUACAUCCUGCAUCUGCCAGAUCUAAUUUGAAGAAGGGGGUAAGUACAUAUAUAUGAAUGAAACUCAACACAAAUGAUGGUAAUAAAAUAAAAUUGUUAAUAUUAUUGCUUAGACACUUCAUAUUGUUUUUCAGAGUAGCCCGCUUAGAGGCUGUCGCAUUGUAGAUGAACUCACAAAUGUAGUAUCCACAAAAAUCAUUCCCGGUUACCUGCCACAAGCACUUUACGAGAAAUAGAGUUCAAUCAAACUGAUAAUCAAGCAUGAUAAAUGGUAUUGAUGAAACUAGAAUCAAUGGGAGAUGCGCGGAACUAGCUAGUAGUACUUACUUUCGGGUGUAUAAAUCACAGCUCCCUUGGUAGUCCCCGAACAAUUCCGGUGAACCGUUUCCAAACCCUGCCAGACAAAGAAAAUAAUUACUUGAUAUCAGGAAAUGAAAAAAGUUGCCGAUAUGGUGCGAUAAUGAUCAAUUGAACUUACUUCUGGAGCAUUUCAGUCAUGUCCGCAUAGUCCUGGGGAUCUUUUCGUCUCGAGUCUAAGACAAUUACUACUCCCCGCUCAAGCUUAAUAUCUGGCAGAAUAAAGUGGAAGCUGCGCACGCAUGCAUAACUCAUCAAUUACAUUACUAUAACCUCGAGUAAGGGAACCCAAAUAUGCACAAGACAGUAACACUCACUUGAAGUUGUAAUGAAAGAGUAUUUUCUCUUUGUUUUGAUUUUUAAGCAACAAUUGUAGCAAGUUGUCCUCGGUAUCUGUGACUCUGUUUUUAACCGCCCAUUCAUGUAUGAUAUUUGGGUUAAUAAACCCAAUGUCAUAGAUUCCACAAUCUUCAAUCUGCAUAAUAUAGUGAGGAUAACUAUAUGUACAUGCAAUGAAAGAGCUGAGUUAUAUAUAGAGACUUAAUUACAGAAGCAAUACUUACAGACAGUAGCAAGUCAUGAGUGUUUUGCUGAGGGCCUUUUGAUUGUAUAACUGGAAUAACUCGUAAAAUUCAACAGACAACAGAUCCAUUCCAACGAGAUCGUGCUCCUCUUUAAUUCUCACCGUCAAAGUAUCCUUCCCAGACUCGCUGCAGGUUUUCAUGUACCAAUCAUGCAAUCUUCGCAUCAUCAUUGUUAGAGGAGGCUGCUCAGGUUUCAUAAGAGGCUGCCUGCAUUGGUAUCUGAAUUCUUCCACCUCUAACAUUUCUAACAUUACAUCAUCGCUCAGGUAAUCUGCAGGAUUGGUACCGGGCACCAUCCCCGGAUGAUUGGCAAGGAGACCGCUAGACACCUUGAGCGGGGGGCACGAUUGGGUCACCUGUUCGCCGAGCUGGGGAAUUUUUUCCCACUUCUUCAUUUUGCUAACCUUGCAUCACUAGAAGUAGUUCCCGAUCGCCGCGCAUCUCCAUAUGUCUUAUUAAGACAUCAGAUAUAGUUGGAAUCCGGUGGAGGCGGCAGUGGUUGCUUCAGGGCAUCGAUAGUGCGCUUCGCUUUCACCGGGUAUAUCAUCUCCUUUGGAGGUGGAGGUUUCUUUGCAAAAAAGUCCCUCACUUGGGCACGACAGAUGUCCUCGUUUUCCUUCUUGGUCCUCUCAUAGGUAACUUUUCUGGAGUCUUGAGACAUGGACCGUAUAUAAAUUGCCUCCCACCUCUGCUUGUACUUCUAUCCGCCGGAGCGGCAGCGUCUCUCUUCCGUCGUUGCUUAUGAGGUGGAGUGCUCCAACGCGUCGGAGGGGCCGGACCGGCGGUGUCUGUCUUCCGCCGUUGUUGACGAGGCGGAGGAGGAGGCUGGCUGCUGUGCUGGCGCGGUGAUAGAGUCUUCACGAAGAUCUGCAUGCCACCAUGCAGGUGUGCUUGCGUAGUUAGCCUGGAAGAUGCACGCUGCCACGCAGGCGCUUGCCUAGUUGGUGGGCUGGAGUGGUGACUGGGCAGCCAAAUCUGGCCAUGGUCUUGCCGACGCCUCUGGCAAGGGUCUUGCCGGGGCCUCGUGGGCCUCCCCAGUAAGGAUCUUGCCAGGGGUCUCUUGGGCGUCCCCGGCAAGGAACUUGCCGGGAGUUCGUCUGUCCCCAGCAAGGAUCUUGCUGGGGGGGCUUCGUCUUCUGGUUUUCAUAUAGGCUUCCAGGCCUAUGCUCUUCACAAAGAUCUGCAUGCCACCACGCAGGCGCCCCCGAGCCUUGGUAUCGAUGUUGUCGAUGGGGUCGGAGCCCUCAGGCUCAAGGGUGGAAGCCUUGCUGGUGUCGGGCAAGUCACCCCGGCAAGGCUCUUGCCAGGGCUAUGUCGACCGCCCCGGCAAGGCUCUUGCCGGGGGAGAUCCAUCUUGCCCCUUUGCUCUUCACGCCUUUGGCUUGAGUAUUGCUUUGGCAGUCUCACACCCUUCCUUUCUCUUCCCCGCCAAGCCAAGCUGCAGGUGUGGCUACGACUGCCCAUGCACAACUAAAGGGGUAAAGAAAGGCCCCUGCUUUUGUACACCAACAGGAGCCUCCAGGCCUGGGCCACACAUAAGCGCGAAGCUUUGUUGGGCCAGGCCCAGAACGGUGCGCGUGCAUGCGUGGUAGAGUCUUAACCAUAGUAAUACCUUCACCAGUUGCGCUUCCCCACGACCCUCAUUGAUCGCGUGACAUGGGGGUUGUGCGUGGAACGGUUGCAGCACGCUUGCGUCACGCCGUGGUGAAUAGUAAAGUGGCGGCCCGCGUCUUCCCAAUAAAAGGGAAAACCGCAGGGGCGCUGCUCAUUUAUCCUAUGUGCCUUUUCCAUCUUGGAACCGUCAGUCCCCUCUUCUUCCUCAAGCGUGCAUCAAAGCUAAUGCAACUUAGUAGUAGCGUGCUUAAAUAAACCGCCUUACUGCUACUACUUUAGCAGUAGCACGUGCUAGGAAAACGCGCUGCUAUGCUUGUAUUUGCAACCAGCGCUACUGCUACGUUCCAUAGCAGUAGUGUGUAUCUCAGAAAUGCUCUACUACUUACUUACCUUAUCUUCACCAUGCGCCCGACCCUCUCACUCACUCUCCCUCUCGCCCGCGCCGAACCCGUCGUCCGCCGCCGCUGCGCUGCUCCUCCACCGAGGUACUCCCUCCGUCCCUCCUGCUCCCUCCUCCCUCCUCCCCUCCCUCCUCCUCCCUCCUCCUUCGGCCGCCCUCCGCCCACCGCCCCUCCNNNNNNNNNNNNNNNNNNNNNNNNNNNNNNNNNNNNNNNNNNNNNNNNNNNNNNNNNNNNNNNNNNNNNNNNNNNNNNNNNNNNNNNNNNNNNNNNNNNNNNNNNNNNNNNNNNNNNNNNNNNNNNNNNNNNNNNNNNNNNNNNNNNNNNNNNNNNNNNNNNNNNNNNNNNNNNNNNNNNNNNNNNNNNNNNNNNNNNNNNNNNNNNNNNNNNNNNNNNNNNNNNNNNNNNNNNNNNNNNNNNNNNNUGUUUUUAUUGUAGUUUUUUUAACAUUGUAUAAUGUAGUUUUUUUUACUGUUUUUAGUAAGUGUUUAAAAUAAUUAGUAAGUAAAUUAAUAAAACUAGAUUAACUAGUUUAUUUUUAGUAAGAACUAGUUGAAUUAAUAGAACUAAUGUAUUUUUAGUAAGAAAAUUAAUAUAACUAGUUGAACUAGUUUAUUUUUAGAAAGAACUAGUUUAUUUUUAUUCAUAGUAAGUUUAAUUUUAGUAAGAACUAGUUAAAUUAAUAGAACUAGUUGAACAUGUCACAUUUGUUGUUAUUUUUUUAGUUUAAGCAAUUUAUCCCGCAUCAACGUCGACGAUGCCUAUCCCGCAUCCUCGUCGACGAUACCCGUCGUUCGCUAGCGUCUUAGUUGUAUUAGUGAUGUUAUAUGUUUGAUACUAUUCGGGAUGUAUUAGUGAUAACUUAUAGGGUUUUUGUUUUUACAGAAAUCUAGGAGCUCCUCCAUCAUCCCCGCCAUCGUCCCCGUUACCGACCCCCUCUGACCUCGAGGUGAGACUAGCCAAAUCUCCAUGUCAAUAUGAGUCCUAUAAGAUAUGAUGUAGAUAAUAACAUGUAUAUCUUGUGUUGCUCAAAUAGGACAUGUGGUUGCCCAAGUGGCCGGUCAUGUUUGCAGGUUACACCUCCGAGUGGCCUAUAUUCUGCCGGAGUGUUGAUUAAUUUCCUUUCUGGCAAAUUUCAGGCGCUCGAUAUGUCCUUUUUUUAGCAAAGGUCAUGCUGGAAUUUUCCGUGAAUUUUGGCAUGACUUGUGCUAGAAUAUGUAGGAAAUAUCGAGUGGCCUGGAUUCUCUAGAAAGAUAAUUAAAUGAUAUUUCAGGUUGACUUCAAGUCUAUUGACGCUGAAGAAUCCUGACUGUUGUCGUGGGGGUCGUUUCUCCUUCUUAUCCUUGUGCUAGACCUUUGUUAUACACUAGGGGAAGGAGGUGUAACGACCAUCACCGACGGUUGCAAAUGUCAGAGGGGAAUCAGUGAGGGAGAGUCUCGACUAUAUAUGAUAGGACGAAGAAUCCUGACUGUUGUCAUGGGGGUAGCUUCUCCUUGGUUCCCGUGUGCUAGAAAAUUUGGUGUAUUGCACUCGGGAACAAAAGGAGGAGCUAACAUCACCGACGGUCGAAUAUAUACACCACGUGAGCUGAGAGUUUUCAAGAAAAGACUCGACAAACUGAUAGUCAACCCGUGAUGAAUAAUAAUGAUCUAAUUUAGUUUUUGUAGUAUUCAAUUGUACAAGUUUAAUCUUUGAAUUAUGAACAUAGGAAAUGUCGUCGGAAGAAGAAGGUCCCGGGGAGUGCUCCUGGUGCAGCGACAACCGGGGUUUCUACGACAGGCCUCACUUGUUAGAAGGUCGGCGCUUCAACAUUAAGCUCGAGGAGGCCUUCGAUUGUGAUACGGUAAGCUACGACGCAAAGUGUUUUUUUAAUUAAGCUCGACUUCUACUACUUACACUUCUACUACUUCAACGUGUAAUUUUCAUCUUUUACAAUUCGACUAGCUUAUUCAAUGCCAUGCAAGAUGCUAUGUCUUGGAGAGGAUGAGUUUUGAUCAUGAGAGGAAUGAAACAAAGAAAAUUAACCUACGAACCCAUCAUGGUAUGGAUUUUGAGGUAAAUCUAUACAAUUCUGAGAGCGUGUCCCAUUUUGGUUGCCCGAGUUGGGAAGCACUUUGCAAGAUGUAUGAUUUUCAAGAGGGUAUGUUUGUUACCAUGGAUCUUGGUGAUCCUGACAUCGAGGUGGACAAUUUGGACAUUUGGGUCCUUGUUGAUACGCUUCCAAUUCUACCGCUAUGUGAGUUUCUCAAACAUAGUUAUUAACUAAUUUAUAUUGUUUAUUUCAAAAUAGUUGACACCUUAUUUCCAUUGAUAGCUCAUUUUCAUUCUUCAAAGGAUGUGCGGAAGAUGGUAGACAAAACCUACUACACCGAUGGCUCUGAGUUAACUUAUCAGGAGAAAAAUCAUCUGGUCGCAUAUUGUACUGACCUUGAGAAUUACAAUGCCUAUUAUCAAACUCCACCACAUUAUGGUCAAUAGGUGCCACUAGUGCACGUGUUGAACCACGAUAACUUCCAUGGAGAUGCCCUGGUAAGAUUUUUUACUAUUACGACAUUCGUGGAUCUUUUGCAUACUUCUAAAACUGAACUACAUUGCUAACUACGAAGUUAUUACUAUGUUUUUCAACAGAAAAUCCCGAUGGAUUGUGUGCCUCAUUUGACGUAUCAGAAUGGUCGCCUUGAUAUUUUGAACAUACAGCCAGAUUAUCCUACGAAUCUCACCUAUCCAUACCGGAUUUCUAAAACCGGUGAACACAUGAUAAUCAAAGAACGGAAAAAAUGUAUGGACAGUCGUAAGGAGGUUCUUGGAAGCAACAUUGUGCGAAAGGCAAGAAUUGGAGACAGGAUAAUCUCCAUUCUCCAUAAUGGAGAGUCUAGGGCUAUCUUGUUUUAUGCUGUUUUACCUAAGAGAAUAUAGUAGGUCCUAAGAGAAUGUAAUAGGCCCUAUGAGGUACAAUAUGUUUAUGAGAGGUGAUGAUGAGGAGUAGUUGUGAUUAUGACUAGUGACCAACUUGCUAUGUGAUGUCUCAUUGAUGAAAACGAUGAUCAUGAGGAGGUGAUAUAUGACAAUGAUGUAUUAUGAUGAUAAGUUGUUAAUGAUAUGAUGAUGAUGAUGAUGAUGAUAUUUAUUAUAUCAUUGGGUGAAAGAACCGGGGAUUAGUUUCAAGUGGAUGUCCAUCCAAUUGAAAUUAGUUCACGGUUCUUUCUCCCAGUGAUGUAAUAACUCAUUAUGAUGUAAAAAAAUACCUCUAAAUUGCCGCGGUAUGAAAAAUUGUAUAAAGGUUUAUGAAUACAACAUGAAAUAAAAAAGAAGUAAAAUAUGGAAUAAUAGUAGUAGCGCGUGCUGGGAGAAGCGCUACUACUAAUUACCAGUAGCGCUCAAUGUAGAAAAUGCUACUACUAAGUCGAUAUAGCAGUAGCGUGGUCUAACCCACGUUACUAUUAAACUUUAGAUGUAGUGCCUUACUAGUAGCGCGGUUCCCCGCGCUACUGAUAGGCAUUAAACCCGCGCUAAUGCUAGGGUUUUCCCUAGUGGUGAAGACAAGCAAGGGCAAGUGAGCGGCCAAGGAUGCCAGGGAGAAGGAGGCGCUGGAGAGCAAGUUGGUGGAGCUCCGGACGCAGUGCACCCUAUUCACCUAGACAGUUGAUGCACUUACCCUCAGGGACAUGUUCAGGCCCCUGUGUGUGUCGGUGUCAAAAUCGGCGGAUCUCGGGUAGGGGGUCCCGAUCUAUGCGUCUUAGGCUGAUGGUAACAGGAAGCAAGGGACACAAUGUUUACCCAGGUUCGGGCCCUCUCGAUGGAGGUAAAACCCUACUUCCUGCUUGAUUAAUAUUGAAGAUAUGAGUAGUACAAGAGUAAAUCUACCAUGAGAUCAUAGAGGCUAAACCCUAGAAGCUAGCCUAUGAUGGUAUGAUUGUAAAUGUUAUCGGCCUUCUAAGGACCAUCCUCUCCGGUUUAUAUAGACACCGGAGAGGGCUAGGGUUUAAAUGGAGUCGGUUACAAGGAAGGAAAUAUAAUAUCCGGAUCGCCAAGUUUUCCUUCCACCCAAAGGAGAGUCCCAUCCGGACACGAGCCAAAGUCUUGAGUCUUGUAUCUUCACGCUUCAAUAGUCCGGACGAUGUAUAUAGUCCGGCUGUCCGGAUACCCCCUAAUCGAGGAGUCCCUCAGUAGCCCCUGAACCAGGCUUCAAUGACGAUGAGUCCGGCGUGCAGUCUUGUCUUCGGCAUUGCAAGGCGGGUUCCUUCUCCGAAUACUCCAAGGUAAUUAUCGAACACGUAGACCGUGUCCAGAUCUGCAAAAUGAUAUUCACAUACCACCGUAGAGAGAAUGAUACUUUAGCUAACAACUUUUUAGACGAAGUGAUAUGUCAUUAUGGUCAGGUCAUUAUUCGAACCAUUCUCCCACAACCAGCCACAACGCGUAUUGCGAGGCGGUUUCCUUGACAUAUCUUGUCAAAGCAGAGAUCGUGUCCCCUUAUCACGGGAUUCUCAUCAAUACGGGUAUGGGUAAUCCCACCAUGCCAUCAAUCGUGGCACUUGGGAAGUAAACGAUUCUCAACGGGCUAGUGGGGAGGCGCACCACUUUUGUUGCCUCUAUAAAGGGAUAAAGGACCCUUAGUUUCACCCACGCCCUCUUCCUCCUUCGCUCAUCCUUGCCUCCCCGAGCUCCAGCACCCAAGUCCAAAUCUUCUCCCCAUAGCUAGACAUGUCCGGAGAAGGAGGCAAGUGGGUGGCCUCCACCGUGAAGGAGAAGCACAUCGCAAAUCUUCGGGCGGCCGGAUACUUGGCCGCAGACAUAGCGCACUGGCUACCGGACGACGGGCAGGUCACUCCAACUCUGGGACCCCACGAGAGGGUCGUGUUUCUCGCCCACUUCGUCCAUGGACUGGGGUUUCCACUGCACCCCUUCGCCCGCAGGCUCAUGUUCUACUACGGGCUAGAUUUCCAUGAUCUAGCCCCGAACUUUGUCCUCAACAUAUCGGCGUUCAUCGUCGUAUGCGAGGCCUUCCUCCACAUCAAGCCUCAUUUCGGCUUGUGGCUGCAAAUAUUCUGCGUGAAGCCGAAGAUCAUGAGCGGCCAGCAAGCGGAGUGCAGAGGAGCCAUGGUGGGCAAGAUGCCUAACGUCACCUGGCUUGACGGCUCCUUUGCGGAAACCUUGAAGGGGUGGCAGUCGGGGUGGUUCUACAUAAUCGAGCUGCGUGACGCCAACUGGGUGGCGGCCCCUCGAGUUCCGAUCCGGAACCCCCAUGCGGCUCACCUCCAGAAGGGCCUGUCCUGGGGCGAAUCUACAGAGCUGGCCGGACUCAAAAACUGCAUCAAGGGCAUGAAUGACAAGAACAUCAAGCUUGUCAACGUGAUCUAGGUCAUGCUCGUUCGCCGGAUUCUGCCGUGCCAAAGGCGGGCAUUCAAUCUGUGGGAGUUCGUCCCGGCCGAACACUAGACGCUUCAGAGGCUCUACGGCAUGAAGCACAAAAACGCGUGGAAGGCGUUGUUCAAGGCCUCCGAAGUACCUCCUCCCAUAUCCGAUGAGUGUGGGCUCCACGCCACACGGCCUCCUAGUCAGGUGAGUUCUCAGGCUGCCACCGAAUUCGGUUCUUCCCAAUAUAUUCAUGGGGGAGCCUUAAGUAAUUGUGCAUAUUUGUUCAGGAUUAUGUGGAGAUAGCGGAGUAGAUUGACUGUCCGGCUCUGCUGCCAGAAAGCCCAGCUGAUGCUCUCCUGAGGGAGAUGCUGGUCCCGGCGCCCUACAAGGGGCCGGAGAAAAAUGCCGAUAAGAAGGCCCCGGGGAUCCGAAAGGGUCUCCGACGUAAGGUUGCGCCAGAAGCCUCAUCCGAAGACGAUGAGGCACACUCCUCCCCCGCAGGGGAAGAAGAAGAAGAGGAGGCCGCCCCAUCCGGAAAGGACGAGGGGCCUGACAGGGCGGACCAGGGGGCCAGGAGAGGCCCCCGGCGCAAGGCCGUCAUACCCUUGUCGUCUGAUGACGACGAGGCAGAUUCCUCCCGCGGAGGCGGGGGGAAACAAGAAGAAACUCUACCUCCCCGUAUUGGGGGGGGGAGAGAGAAAAAGAGGAAGGCCACCCUGGAGGGGGAGGCUGGGACGUUCAAGAAGGGAAAGGCGUCCCUUUCGGUCUACUCCACCAACACCGCCGAUAGCGAGGAGGGUGGCUGCCCAGGAAGAAGCCCGUAGUGCGAUUGUAAGUAUCCGCACUCAAUCGUAAUUUUGCUUCAUAGUUUUGUUAUAACGCCAAACUUGUAUGCAGUCCGGCCAGGGUCCAUCCCGAGGUGUCUGUCGGUGUCAAAACCGGCGGAUCUCGGGUAGGGGGUCCCGAUCUAUGUGUCUUAGGCUGAUAGUAACAGGAAGCAAGGGACACAAUGUUUACCCAGGUUCGGGCCCUCUCGAUGGAGGUAAAACCCUACUUCCUGCUUGAUUAAUAUUGAAGAUAUGUGGAAUACAAGAGUAGAUCUACCACGAGAUCAUAGAGGCUAAACCCUAAGAGCUAGCCUAUGAUGGUAUGAUUGUAAUUGUGAUCGGCCUUCUAAGGACCAUGCUCUCCAGUUUAUAUAGACACCGAAGAGCUAGGGUUUACAUGGAGUCGGUUACAAGGAAGGAAACAUAAUAUCCGGAUCACCAAGCUUGUCUUCCACGCAAAGGAGAGUCCCAUCCGGAAACAAGCUGAAGUCUUGAGUCUUGUAUCUUGACGCUUCUACAGUCCGGACGAUGAAUAUAGUCUGGCUAUCCGGAUACCCCCUUAUCCAGGACUCCCUCAGUAGCCCCUGAACCAGGCUUCAAUGACAAUGAGUCCGGCGCGCAGUCUUGUCUUAGGCAUUGCAAGGCGGGUUCCUCCUCCGAAUACUCCAAGGUUAUUAUCGAACACGUAGGACAUGUCCGGAUCUGCAAAACGAUCUUCACAUACCACCGUAGAGAGAAUUAUACUUCAGCUGACAAUUUUUAGACGACGUGGUAUGCCCUUUCAGUCAGAUCGAACCGUUUUUCCACUACCAGCCACAACGUAUACCGCGAGGCGGUUUCCUUAGCACGUCUUAUCGAAGCAAAGAUCGUGUCCCCUUAUCACGGGAUUCUCAUCAAUACGGGUAUGGGUAGUCCAACCGUACCGCUAAUCGCGGCGAGUGGGGGACGAGCGGGUUCCACUAGGCAAGUGGGGAGGCACAAAAAAGCUCUUACCUUCUCUUAUAAAGAGAUAGGGCAUCUUCGUAUUUUACCCACGCCUUCUCCUUCCGCUAACUCAUUCCCCUCUGCUCGAGCCCCAACGCCCAAGCGCUCUUCUUCUCCAUCGAAGAGAGGUUUCUCUAAGAUGUCCGGAUCCGGAGCAGGAGGCAAAUGGAUGGCCUCUACCGUCCGGAAGAAGGAUAUUAAGAGGCUCCGAGAAGCCGGGUAUCUGGACAAGAAGAUUGGCCACCGUCUCCCACCGGCGGGACAUGUUGUCCCUACUCCGGAGCCCCACGCGAGAGUCGUCUUCCUUCCCCAUUUUUUCCACGGGCUCGGGUUUCCCCUCCACCCAUUCGUUCGAGGAGUCAUGUAUUACUACGGGAUUGACUUUCACGAUCUUUCCCCCAACUCUUUUCUCAAUAUCUCGACGUUCAUCGUCGUGUGCAAGGCCUUCCUCCGGAUUCCGCCUCACUUCGGCCUGUGGCUGAAGAUUUUCAAUGUGAAGCCCAAGGUGGUGAGUGGUGAACACGCCGAGUGCGGCGGCGCCAUGGUGAGCAAGAUGCCCAAGGUUGUUUGGCCGAAGGGCACUUUUAACGACUCCGUCAAGGAAUGGCAGCAAUAGUGGUUUUAUAUCACCGAACCACACGGUGAAAAAUGGGAAGCAAAUCCUGAGUUCAGACCCGGAGCUCCAUUGCGGCUUACGUCCUGGCCCAAGAAGGGCCCGAACUGGUGCUCGUCUGAUGAGCUUUCACUGCUCCUGACACAUGUUCGGAAUAUGGUCGACAAGGACGUCAAGCUUGUUAACGUGGUCUAGGUGAUGCUAGUUCGCCUGGUUCUCCCUUGCCAGCGUCGAGCCUGUACUUUAUGGGAAUUCGACCCAACCGAGCACCAAACCCUCCGGGAGCUCUAUGAUUCCUCCCACGAGGAUAUCUGGAAGGUGCUCUUUAAGUCCAGCAAAUCAUGGUCGGACUCUUCUAAGGACCGGGGGUAUCAAUUAUCCCAUUCUGCAAGCCCGGUAAGUUAUAGCCACGCCCUGUCCCUCCAAGCUUUAGCUGGCAUAUCAUGAGGGGGAUGUUUUAAUCGUGCUUCAUUGUGGCUUUAGGGAUGGAUAAAAAGGGUGGAGCGGAUACAAUGUCCAGCCCCGCUGCCGGAGGAACCGGCCGGACCUCUUCUGACGAAGAUGCUGGUCCCUGCACCUUACAAGGCGCCCAAGAAGGAGGCCUCCAAGCAGGUCAAGAAGACCCGGAGUGGCCUCCAUUGUCGCGAGGCUCCGGACACCAGGUCCGAAGGCUCCAGCGACGCUCCUUCUUCUGAAGACAAAGAGGAGGAGGCAGAGGAGGAUGAGCCUCGCUCUGCAGGCGGAAAGAAGCGUGCAGCUUCCCAGUCCCUGGAGGCCGAGUCGCCCAAGAGAGGGCGAGGUUCCCCUCCAGAGGCAUCCACCCCGGCUGCAGAUAAUAGCCCGGAGUGGGAUCCCGAGGCCCAGCCCCUGGGAAGAUCGUAAGUAACCGAAAUAUGAAUACGCCUAUGUAUCCAGGGUCGUACGGGUAUAGUAGUUUUAAUAGUCGCCACACCUCAUAUAGCCCGGCAAGGUCUCCUGCCGGACAAUCCUCAUCUAAGGAUUCGUUGAGCUCGAAUGCCGUGGCGAGCGAGACACCUCCGAAGGCUCCUUUUCCGCAGUCCAGGCGCGACACCGAGGUGUCGUGUCAGAGAGACUUAGAGCUGGAUAAGGUCCUGGAGGCCUCUAAGGCUCCAGGAUCGGGCGAACGGCCAUCCUCCAUGGAGGGAGGUUUGCCUACUCUGCCGGCAACCUCAGUCUACGCCGAGCUGCCAGGCGGUCUGUUGACAGCGUUAAAGAACGCGUCCGUCGUUGAUGAACAUCAGACCCUUAUGGGUGCGGUGCUUGGAAAGAUUCAGGCUGCUGAAAGCGGGCUGAAUGAGUCCUGUCUGGGCCUUAUAAAGGCUUUUGAGGUAUGGUUUCUAAGGAACCUUUGAAGAAUUAUCAUGAUAUGAGGAGUAGCCCCUGAUACAUUGUCCGGCGAAAGUAAGCCGGGCAGGGGAUCAAACCCUCUAUUGUAAUGGCAACCUUUAUUUAAUGGUGUAUACCCAUUUUUUUGAAAACAGGCUUCUGCGGAGAGGACGACUGCUCAUGAUGCAGAAGUGUCCGAACUGAAGCAUAGCCUGGAACGGGCCAAAGAAGAACUUGGCCGUGUGAAGAAACAAUUGGAGGAGAAGCAAGGUAUGUUUGAACAUUGUCUUGCAUUGGGUACAAAUGAAUAAGUGUGCCUAUUGAAAAGCAUUUAUGUUAUACGCCCUAGGAGCGAGUGUCGAAUAUGAGGCGCUGAAGAAGGCAGCGGCUGAUGCCCAAGAGAAGGCUGCCGCCGAAUAGGCACUGCGUGAAAAACACGAGGCCAGGGUCGUCAUAGCUGAGCGGGAGCUUCAGGAUGCUGUGAUGAAAAGCGAUAGCUUGGAGCAGAGUCUAGUAGGGAAAGAAUCCGAACUUGCCCAAGCUCUCCAAGCCGCGGAAGAUGCUCGAGAAGAAGCCCGAGGUGCUGUACGGGACAUUCAGGAGGCCCGGAAAGUUGCGGCUGGUAAGGCCUGUUGUAUCUAUGGCCGUUACGAUGUUAUAAUGUGGAAAACUCUAAGCGGCAUGCUGAAUUCUUAAUUUUGCAGGGGCGUUUGCGGAUCUGCCUCGUAGCAUAUCAGAUGCUGCCCAAUUUUACCGGUCCGAGGAGAGGGAGUCUGCAGGGAGGAACUUCUAGUCGCAGUAUCUAGCGCUGAACUAUCUGGUGCCUUUUAUCGAUCAGCUGAAGCAGCUAGUCGAACUGCACCCGAUGGCCGAACUAGCCAUGAAGGACUUGGUCAUCUGGCUUUGGCCUGCAGAGCCAAUUCCCAGCAGUUUCUUCGGACUCGUCAAGCGGAUUGUGGGCACCUGUCCUCGGCUUGAUAUUAUCAAGCGAUCAUUAUGUAUAGAAGGUGCACGAAUGGCGCUUGCCCAUGCAAAAUUACAUUGGGGGAAGCUUGACGCGGAAAAGCUGAUAACUAAGGGGCCACCAGUGGGUAAGGAGCAUCGCAAGCCCGAACUGUAUUAUGAAGGUGUAAUGAAGGGUGCCCGCCUGGCAGCGGAUAAGUGCACCAAAGACAUUAUAUUUCCCUGAGGGCAUUUUUGCCAACGUUUGUAAUAUGGGAUAAUGGGACUUUUAUUAUAUGUUGCCUGUUUGGUUUGAACAUAUGUUCUUCCUUUGUGGCUGUUUACUGUAUGUAAAUUCUGAGAGUUGGCCAGUCGUCGGCUUCAUCCCCCACGUGAGAAGUACGGGGGUGUUCGGGGUAUUUCGGAACACUCUCUAUCCCAUGGUUGGCUCCUUAUAAGGGGGUGUUUCUCACCACGAACCAGGCAAUCGGACUAUAGGGCUUUACUACUCUCACUUAGCCCUAGGAAUUCGAGUAUGGUCGGCGCAGCCCUAGUGUCCGGAAGGCCGGACUAGGGGCUCUAUUGGUGCCUGAUCGGUAGACCGAUGCGUUGCAAUCUGCAUUUUAUAGUGGCGUUAUGCGGAAUAAAUCUUUAAGGAUUUUGCAACCUCUCGAACAGCUGACCAGCUCUCGCCGCAUCAUGAAAGUCGGUUUUCGGCUUUCUCUACUGAGGUGCUCGUCCGGCAGAUCUGGGACACAAUCGCAGUAGUUCUCCCAGCGCUACCUUAGCCGACGGAACGGAACGUAAGGUACCAAAACAAGGGAGCCGGGCAAACCCAACCAAUGAUCCAAGACAUGAUUCGGAGCUGAUGCAUAUAGUGCUAUAAGUUCGGGGUGCCGAGCGACUAAGAAGGUGAUCGAACUUUAUUGCUGUACGGUGGAGCCCCUGGCAUAACCGGGCAUAACACAAACCGUGGCUGCCAUUUUUAUGGCAAAGAGGCGUCGAUGAUAAACGAAGACCGGUGCAUGUUUAAUUAAGUCUACGCAUUGCAGUAAUAUGAUAUGUCUGUGCAUAUGAAUGCGAUUUAUGAUUAUGAAGAAGAGAUGGUUUUCUGGCGGAACCUGUGGUGGCCGGACUGGAGGGGGCUUUGAAUGGAUCGAAGGUGAAUCCGAACUACCGUCUACCUGCAUGGUCCUGUCCUUGUGUGUCCGGGCCGACUUCACGCCGCCAAACAUGUUCUGCAUAAAAGUUAGUUUGUGAAGGUAAGUGCGUGGAGGCCGCCGAACGUCGUCCCGUGGUUGGUCCAAAGGUUCCUGACCGGACCCUGGUGACCCCAACUACUAUUCGAGAAGUAGCCCAGACUUCUCAGGUGGUGUCCGGAUAGUUGGUUGUUGUAUCAAAAUAUUAACAGGCAUGCGCAACUUGCUAUUCUGACGGCUGUAUGAUCUUCGCUUUUAAGGGCGGGGUUUGUCUCGGCACGCAGGCAUGAGUGUAUUACCGGUGCUGGCCUGAUGAUUUACCACGUGGAAUCUAGCCAACAUGGUUCAUCCUGUUAGCAUACGGUGUGAUACCGUAUAGGGGGAAUGCGCCGAUGGCGCGCCCUUAUUUUGUUAUCUGAAAACAACCGUUAGGGCAGCGGGCCAAUGAACCUGGCCUUUGUGCCUGACACCUUGCAGAAGGUGCUAUUUUCAUGUCUGCUUGGGCUUUAUUGUUUAAGGAGCCACUGGACUAUUAGGUAUGGGGGUGUGCAAUUGAAUUGUUGUGGUUUGUAUGAUAGGGGGCGGUCGGCCGUACUGUUGUGCUCUGGGGGGGGGGGCUUUUGACUAAGCGCCUCCCCUCAAUGUUUCCGGCACACGCACGGUUGCUUUACAUUGGAGAUCUGACAUUCUCUAUUAGUGUGUUUUUCCGUUCUUUUUGGAGUACCGUGAAUUUCGCACGGCUGAUCGAGUUCGUGGCUUGGGCCGAAUAGGCUUGAGCUGUUCUUUGUCCGUUGACCAGACUGGGAUUUGCUGAACUUGAUAUCAGCUUCACUGAUUUGCCGUUUAUGACCGUUGCGCUGAGGCUUGAGGCUGCUUCUUCGUGUAUCCUUCUUGCUGGUUUGGACCGUAGAGGUGUGCGGACGUCGGGUUGUGUGCCUUUGGUUUUCCUGCUUAGGUUAAGGUAGCCAGUUGUGCCACGUGUGCCCUUUGUUAGGGCGGUCGAGUCCGUACUUCUCGGUGGCCAGGAUCUUGGCCAUCGCUCUAUUAGCAAAUCCUGUUCGGCCUUAAGCUGCUCUUGCUUCCUUUGCAGACUCUUUGCAGUGGCUAUGAGUCAUCGCCUAAAGCGAACUUGUUCCGCUGGGUCUUCAGACAUGCCGAAUUCGUCAUUGUCGAGGCUUACCUCGUCUUUCGAGGGCGGUGUAUAGUUGUCCCUCUCCAAGUAUCCCACCGUGGCCUGUACGGCGUGCUUGGUGGUCGGCUGGUCAGGACUGUAUUCCUCUUUGGUACUAUCUAGAUCAUCUCCGGGACCGGUAUUGAUGUGGCGGGGUUUGGAGUGGUGUCGGAGACGCCCAUAUUCUGCUUUUCCUCCUGAGGGGUUGUCCUCCACUGCCUCGUCGCCAUUGGUUUCUUUCGGAGUGUCCACCAUGUAUAUAUCAUUUGAAGAGGUGGCUGUCCACCGCCCAGUGAGCGGUGGCUCCUGUAUGUCUCCUGCAUCGUCGUCCAUACCGUUGAUGUCUUCGAAGUCAAAGUUGGGCACGUCGGUUAAGUCAUCGAUCGUGGCGACAAAGUGGGUGGUCGGUGGGCAGCGAAUUCCUUCGUCGCCUGCUUGCCACUCAAGCCAGACAUAGUUCGGCUCACAGCCUCCUGACAGAGAGAGAGACUUUAAUGAGUUCAGCAUGUCGCCAAAAGGCGAGUGCUGAAAGAUGUACGCAGCGGUAAACUCCAUCACCGGAGCCCAACCUGGCUCGGCUGUCUCGAGAGUGUGCGGGCCAGGGCCAACGGCCGGAUAUGAGUCCGGGGGCCCAGGGUUACAGGCCUCCACAGAGGUGAGACCCGUGUUCGGCUCCACCACUGAUAAGUGUGCAACCUGCGGGGCGGGGUCCAGCCCUCCGUCCACAGGCAACGCAACCUGCCCUAGAUUUAAAUCCAGGGCUGCUUCGGGGAUGAUGUCUCGGGCACUGUCCGACAGCAGGUCUAGGCCGUGCUCGUUGUGGCUGUCCGGCGCUCCUGGCGCAGGCUCGAAUCCGUUGAAGAUCAAGUCUCCGCAGAUAUCUACCGUGUAGUUCAAGUUUCCGAACCUGAUCUGGUGGUCAGGGGCGAUCUGCUCCAGCCGGCCAAGCGAAUUGGCCCACAGUGCGAAGCCGCCGAACACAAAGAUCUGCCCGAGGAGAAAAGUCUCACCCUGGAUCGUGUCGUUGACGAUUGAAGACUCCAUCAAGCCUCGAAGCGACGACAGAGAGGAACUCUCAAUGAAAGCACCAAUGUCGGUGUCAAAACCGGGGGAUCUCGGGUAGGGGGUCCCGGUCUGUGCGUCUUAGGCUGAUGGUAACAGGAAGCAAGGGACACAAUGUUUACCCAGGUUCGGACCCUCUCGAUGGAGGUAAAACCCUACUUCCUGCUUGAUUAAUAUUGAAGAUAUGUGGAAUACAAGAGUAGAUCUACCACGAGAUCGUAGAGGCUAAACCCUAAGAGCUAUCCUAGAUGGUAUGAUUGUAAUUGUGAUCGGCCUUCUAAGGACCAUGCUCUCCGGUUUAUAUAGACACCGGAGAGGUAGGGUUUACAUGGAGUUGGUUACAAGGAAGGAAACAUAAUAUCCGGAUCGCCAAGCUUGUCUUCCACGCAAAGGAUAGUCCCAUCCGGACACGAGCCGAAGUCUUGAGUCUUGUAUCUUGAUGCUUCUAAAGUCCGGACGAUGAAUAUAGCCCGGCUGUCCGGAUACCCCCUUAUCCAGGACUCCCUCAGUAUCGUCUUCGGACGGGUCCUUUAGUGAUUCGGCAAUGAACUCACUUCCGACGGCCACUACUUCUCAGCCCGCGGAUGACACGGAGGUGUUGUCCCAAAGGCUCCCAGAGCGGGGGGAGGUGGAUCUGUAGGCGCCCCAAGGCGGCAUUCCAAACGUCGGACAUGUUGGGUUCAAGAUCCCCGCGGAUCGUGUUGUUGAGAGCCGCAGUAAGCUGGAAUCUCAGCCGAACACUGUUCCGGGACCUUCCGUGGUUCCGGACUCAGGCGGACAACCCCUCGUUAAGGAGGGUGAGCCGUCUGUGCCGAGGACUUCUGUUGCGCCCGAGGCGCCGGAUUGUCUGCUGGAAGCGCUUCACGGUGCUUCCAUAGAUAAAGAGCACCGUACUCUUAUGAGUGCGGUGAUUCAGAAGGUUUCAUCCGUGAAGAGCGGACUAACCAAAGCCUGCACCAGCCUCCUGAUAGGCUUUGAGGUAAGUAAUAAAAAUGUGUGAAAUUACCACCCAAUAGGUAGUAGCCCCUGAUACUCCUUUUGGUGUUCGGAAGGAAAAACCAAAUGGAGGGUCAAUUAUAAUCCGCAGGAGUCUAACAAUAAGUUUGAAUGUGAAUAAGCAGGCUGUGCUGCUUGCCGCUGCGGUCCAUACGACCGAGAUCGCCAGACUAAAACAGGACCUGGAGCAGGCGCAGGGAGAGCUCGACCCCACGAGGAGGCAUCUCGAAGAGAGCAAAGGUGAAUGAUUCCCCCUUCUCUUAUAAUGAGGGAUAGAUAAAAUUGGUUAUUCUAACGACGAAGCGUUGUGAUUUGGUAACAGAGGCCACCACCGAAGUGGCGUCUCUCAAGAAAGCGCUGUCCGAGGCCGAACACAAGGCGGCCUUGGAAUGCAAAGAGCGCGAAAAGCAUGAUGCGAGAGUGGGAGAGGUACAACAAGAGCUCCAGGAUCUCGGAAAGAAGUUUGAGGCCGUGGAGCAUGAGCUUAAGGCGAAAGAGGGCGAGCUUACGAAGGCCCUUGCAAGCAUAAAAGACGCCAAGGCCGAAGCCGAGAAGGCACAGCAGGAGAUCUAGGAGGCCAAAAAGAUAGCCGUGGGUAAGAAAUUCUCUAUGCAAAGCAAACAUGUGGAGGAGGCGUUUCUUUUACUUACCCGAAUCCGGAGGUCUCCACGGGCAUUCGCAGAUCUGCCAAGCAGCGUAUCAGAUGCCGCGGAGUUCUACCGUGCCCAGGAGGGGAGCUCAACGGAGAAGUUGUUCUGGUCCCAGUAUGCUGGGGCCGAACAUCCAACACCUCUGAGUGACCAAUUGAAGCAGUUAGUCGAACUCCAUAGGGCGGCCGAAGUGGCUAUGAAGGAUUUCAUAGUCCGGAUGUGGCCUGGUGAGCCCCUGCCCACCAGCUACUUCGGCUUGAUCAAGCGGAUGGUGAAUGCCUGUCCGUGACUGGAAGUCAUUAAGCUAUCUGUUUGCAUUGAGGGUGCCCGCCGGGCCUUUGCCCAUGCGAAGGUGCAUUGGGGCAAGCUGGAUGCAGAGAAGCUGGUGAAGGACGGGCCGCCGGAGGGCAAGACGCAUCGCUAUCCGGAGAAGUAUUAUGAUGGCGUUAUGAAGGGCGCUCGCCUCGUGGCUGAUGAAUGUACCAAGGAUAUAAUUUUAGAAUGAAUUCACUUCUGUUAUGUUUGUAAUUUAAGGACGAAGUUACUUGCGCUAUGUAGUGCUUGUUAUUUAAAAUAUUACCUUCUGUGCGGCUGUUUAUAAAAUUCUGAAAGUAGGCCAGUCGUCGGCUUCCGCCCCCAUGCAACUAGUACUGGGGUGUUCGUGGAAAACCCGGACACUCUUUAUCCAAAUGUUUGGUCCCUUAAGGAGGUGUCCGGCACAGCGAACAAGGCAAUCGGACUAUGCAGCUUUAUAACCUUCACUUAGCCAUAGAAGUCUACAAUUUUAAAUUUUGGCGAAGCCCCUAGAAUCCGGAAGGCCGAAUUGGGGCGCUAUACACGCCUAGAUCGGACAAAGCCGAAUUAUCGCCUAAAGCGGAAAAAUCUAUAAGGAUUUUAAGACCUCUCGAACAGCGACCAGCUCUCGCCACAUCAUGCCGGUCAGUUUUCGGCUUUCUCUAGUGAGGUGCUCGUCCGGAAGAACCGAGACACAAUCGCAGUAGUUCUCCCUACGCUACCUUAGCCGAUAUAACGGAACGUAAGGCACCAAAACAAGGGAGCCGGGCUAUCCCAACUGUAGACCCAAGACAUGAUUCGGAGCUAAUGCAUAUAAUGCUAUAAGUUUGGGGUGCCGCACUGUUGAAAGUGUUUGGACUUGUCUUGCCGUAUUAUGGGGCGCCAUAAGAAGCCCCUGGCAAACUGAAUGUACCAAGGUGUACGGAUGCAAUAUCAAAUAGACAUUUGUAAGAAAAAAAUGCUCAAAUAAGAAUAAUAAGCUGACACUAUGUAUGAUCUCCCAUUGAUGAACAAUAUGUUUAAGCAUAUGUUUACAAUGAAUGCAUUAAGAGGAGAUAAAUAGGAUUAUUUGACAUAUCCUAUCCAGGGCGAGCUACGCACAGAUAGAUAAAGCAGGUAUAACGAUCAUAAAUAGAUUCCACAUGGGUAUUUCCUUCUAUGCGCAAAGCCUGUUGCCUCCUUGGUUUUCUCUCCUAUGUAAGUCUGACAAUCCGGCUCUUCUGGAGAGGCUGCACUAAAGCAAUGUCCUGAAAGGUGAAAUGAAAGGUUACGAAGGUACGUGGUGGUGAUACCGCACUAUUGACUGAGCCACUGCUGCUCCUCCGCCCGUGCCCAUGGUAUUUUAAGUGCGUAAUUGUGUACGCGUGGCACUACUGCUACUUUGAUGGGCUUUGAGCGGAGGCCGGACUGCUAAUCAUGCUCUUGGCGUGCCCGGUGGUCCUGUUGUGGGGUGAUCCGAACUCGCUUGACGGUGCUUGAGGUUUUCGUCGCCGGAUUGGUGGUUUGCCGGAGGAGGCCGCAUUGUACUUCUGCUGCGAGGGCUGCAGUAUGCUCUUCUGUAUGGAGAGAGCGGUUCAUGUUUCCGUUGACUGUUAUGACCCCGCGCGGGCCUAGCAUCUUGAGCUUAAGGUAUGCAUAGUGUGGUACCGCAUUGAAUCUAGCGAAUGCGGUUCGUCCGAGCAGUGCGUGGUAACCACUACGGAAAGGGACGAUAUCAAAGAUUAACUCCUUGCUUCGGAAGUUAUCCGGAGAUCCGAAGACCACUUCCAAUGUUAUAGAGCCCGUACAGCGGGCCUCCACUCCAGGAAUUACACCUUUAAAGGUGGUUUUGGUAGGCUUAAUCCUUGAAGGGUCGAUGCCCAUUUUGCAUACUGUGUCCUGAUAAAGCAGGUUCAGGCUGCUGCCUCCAUCCAUAAGGACUCUUGUGAGGUGAAAUCCAUCUAUGAUUGGGUCUAGAACCAAUGCGGCUGAGCCGCCGUGACCGAUGCUAGUAGGAUGAUCCCUAUGAUCAAAGGUGAUCGGGCAAGCUGACCGCGGGUUCAAUUUGGGGACGACUGGCUCCAUCGUGUAGACGUCCCGUAGUGCUCGCUUCCUUUCCCGCUUGGGGAUGUGACUGGCGUAGAUCAUGUUGACCGUUUUCACCUGGGGGAGAAAUUUCUUCUGUCCCCCCGUGUUCCGAUGCCGGGGCUCAUCGUCAUCGUUGCUGUGCAGCCCCGUGUCCUUGUUUUCGGUGUUUAUUUUGCCGGCCUGUUUAAAAACCCAGCAGUCUCUAUUGGUGUGGUUGGCUGGCUUGUCCGGGGUGCCAUGAAUUUGGCACGAGUGCUCCAGUAUACGGUUUAGACUGGACGGUCCCUGAUUGUUUCUUUUGAAUGCCUUCUUCCACUGACCGGAUUUAGAUCUGCUGAAUCCGGCAUUGACUGCCGUAUCUUCGGUGUUGUCGCCAUUGUUCCGUCGCUUGUGUCUGUUGCGCCGUAGCUUGCCAUUAUUUUCACGGACAUCUGACGUGCAAGAAUGUGGCGUAGUGCUACUGCGAGCCAACCAGCUGUCCUCGCCCGUGCAAAAGCGGGUCAUUAGCGUCGUGAGAGCUACCAUGGACUUGGGUUUCUCCUAGCCGAGGUGUCGGGUGAGCCACUCGUCGCGGAUAUUAUGCUUGAAGGACGCCAGGGCUUCGGCAUCCGGACAGUCAACUAUUUGGUUCUUUUUAGUUAGGAACCGGGUCCAGAAUUUCCUGGUUGAUUCUCCGGGCUAUUGAGUGAUGUGGCUCAAGUCAUCGGCGUCCGGAGGUCGCACAUAUGUGCCUUGGAAGUUGUCAAGGAAUGCGUCUUCCAGGUUUUCCCAACUGCCAAUGGAAUUUGCUGGCAGGCUGUUAAGCCAGUGUCGGGCGGGUCCUUUGAGCUUAAGGGGAAGAUACUUGAUGGCAUGUAGAUCAUCACCGCGGGCCAUGUGGAUGUGGAGAAGGAAGUCUUCAAUCCAUACCACAGGGUCUGUUGUGCCAUCGUAUGAUUUGAUGUUUACGGGUUUGAACCCUUCCGGGAAUUCAUGAUCCAUCACUUCAUCAGUGAAGCGGAGGGGGUGUGCGGCGCCUCUGUGCCGGCCUAUGUCGCGACGCAGUCCGGCUGCGUCUGACUGGUUAUGUUCGGCCCGGCCGGAUUUGCUGUUAGUGUAUCCGGUAUGACGGUCAUCGUCAUGUGUUGCGGCGCGCCGCCGUGAUCCGUAGAUCGAUCUUGGUUGUCCUGCGGUGUUAUCCAGUCUAUCGCGCAGGUCCUGAGUAUUGCCCCGGGCCGUAGUGAACUGGCGUGGGGGUGCAUGCUGGUAUUUGGGCUGAUAUGCCGUUUUAUCCCGACCUCAAGGUGGCCGGUCAGCCAUGUGGCGCUCGAGUCCAUAUUCCUUAGCUGCUAGGACUUCUGUCCAUCUAUAUGUGAGCAGGUCUUGAUCAGCAUGAAGUUGUUGCUACUUCUUCUUCAGGCUUCUCGCAGUGGCAAUAAGCCGGCGCUUGAAGCGCUCAUGCUCUGCGGGGUCCUCGGGCACGCCGAACUCGUCGUCGCCGAGGCUAAUCUCGUCUUCGGUGGAGGGCAUGUAGUUGUCCUCCUCCGGAUACCCGCCCGUCACCUGUUCGUCUGGGCUGUCCUGCCCAUCUUCCCGCUUGGCCUGCUCGAAGGCGGGCUGAUUGGGGUUGUAUUCAUCGUCAGCACCGUCCAGAUUGUUUUUGUCUCCGGUGCAGGUAUUGCCUUGGCGGGGCUUGGAGCGGCGCUGGCGACGCCCAUGCUUUGCUUUCUUCUUGGAGGGGUUAUCCUCCGUUGCCUCAUCGCCAUUGGUUUCUUUCGGAGUGUCCACCAUAUAUAUAUCGUAUGAAGAGGUGGCUGUCCACCGCCCUGUGAGCGGUGGCUCCUGUAUGUCUCCUGCAUCGUCAUCCAUACCGUCGAUGUCUUCGGAGUCGAAGUCAAGAACGUCGGUUAAAUCAUCAACCGUGGCAAUGAAGUGGGUGCUGGGUGGGCAGCGAAUUCCUUCGUCACCUGCUUCUCACUCAAGCCGGACAUAGUUCGGCCCAGAGCCUCCUGACAAAGAGAGAGACUUUAAUGAGUUCAGCAUGUCGCCAAAGGGCGAGUGCUGAAAGAUGUCCGCAGCGGUAAACUCCAUUACCGGAGCCCAGCCUGGCUCGACUGGCUCGGGGGUAUGCGGACCGGAACCAACAACCGGAUAUGAGUCCGGGGGCCCGGGGUUACAGGCCUCCACAGAGGUGAGACCUGUGUUCGGCUCCACCACCGAUGAGUAUGCAACCUGCGGGGCGGGGUCCACCCCUCCGUCCUUGGGCAACGCAACCUGUUCUGGAUUUAGAUCCGGGGCAACUGCAGGGAUGAUGUCCCGAGCAUUGUCCGACAGCAGGUCUAGGCCGUGCUCGUCGUGACUGUCCGACGCUCCUGGCACAGGCCCGAAUCUGUCGAAGAUCAAGUCUCCGCGAAUGUCCGCCGUGUAAUUCAAGUCUCCGAACCUAAUCUGGUGGCCAGGGGUGUAGCUGUCGAUCUGCUCCAGAUGACCAAGCGAAUUGGCCUGCAGUGCGAAGCCGCCGAACACAAAGAUCUGUCCGGGGAGAAAGGUCUCGCCCUGGACCAUGUUGCUGGCGGUCGAAGACGCCAUCAAGCCUCGAAGCGACAACACAGAGGAACUCUCAAUGAAACCACCAAUGUCGGUGUCAAAACAGGCGGAUCUCGGGUAGGGGGUCCCGAUAUGUGCGUCUUAGGCUGAUGGUAACAGGAAGCAAGGGACACAAUGUUUACCCAGGUUCGGGCCCUCUCGAUGGAGAUAAAACCCUACUUCCUGCUUAAUUAAUAUUGAAGAUAUGAGUUGUACAAGAGUAGAUCUACCACGAGAUCGUAGAGGCUAAACCCUAGAAGCUAGCCUAUGAUGGUAUGAUUGUAAAUGUGAUCGGCCUUCUAAGGACCAUCCUCUCCGGUUUAUAUAGACAUCGGAGAGGGCUAGGGUUUACAUGGAGUCGGUUACAAGGAAGGAAAUAUAAUAUCCGGAUCGCCAAGCUUGCCUUCCACGCAAAGGAGAGUCCCAUCCGGACACGGGCCGAAGUCUUGAGUCUUGUAUCUUCACGCUUCAAUAGUCCGGACGAUGUAUAUAGUCCGGCUGUCCGGAUACCCCCUAAUCCAGGACUCCCUCAGUGGGGAAGGGAGAUGUCGGGGCACCCUGCCACGCAUAUCGUCCCUUCCUCAUUUGCCGAGGCCGGUCCAAACCGGUAUCCCUUCUUUGUCGAUUGUUUAUCCUGCGGGCUCUACCCCCCUUUUUCAGAUUUCUUCAACGACAUCAUGCACACCUAUGGCUUCCACCUUCUGGAUUUCGUGCUGAAUGUUGUGGCGUGCAUGGCCUUCUUCGCCAAUCUUUGCGAGGGUUUUGCCAGACUAUAUCCCAGCAUGGCGCUCUUUCGCCAUUACUUCACCCCUCGCAUCCAGCCAGGGGGCGCCAUCUCUGGCUGUAUUACUUGGAUCCCAAGGACCCAGAGCAGGGGCACGUACCCGGAGGGUGCCGAGAAGGAGAGGUGGGACGAGUGGCGGGGCCGAUGGUGCUGGAUCGAGGAGGCAGAUCCGCAGGAGUUCUGCGGGGCCCUUCGGAGGCCGCCGGUCCGCGGCAAGGAAUGGAGCGACCUCGACGCCGAUGAAAAGAAGCUCAUGGUCACCACCAAUACGUCUCCAACAUAUCUAUAAUUUUUGAUUGUUCCAUGCUAUUAUAUUACCCCCUUUUGGAUGUUUAUGGGCUUUAUUUUACACAUUUAUAUCAUUUUGGGACUAACCUACUAACCGGAGGCCCAGCCCGUAUUGCUGUUUUUUUUGCCUAUUUUAGUAUUUUGAAGAAAAGGGAUAUCAAACGGAGUCCAAACGGAAUGAGACCUUCGGGAGCGUGAUUUUUGGAACGAACGUGAUCCGGAGAGCUUGGAGUGCAAGUCAAGAAGCUCCCGAGAACCCCACGAGAUAGGGGGGCGUGCCCCCUCUUGUAGGGCGCGCCCCCUGUCUCGUGGGCCCCUCGGGCGUCCACCAACGUACUUCUUCCUCCUAUAUAUAACUACAGACCCCGAAAACAUCCAGGAGCACCACGAAACACAAUUUCCACCGCCGUAACCUCCUAUAUCCACGAGAUCCCAUCUUGGAGCCUUCGCCGGCACUCUGCCAGAGGGGGAAUCGACCAUGGAGGGCCUCUACAUCAACAUCCUUGCCCCUCCGAUGAGUUGUGAGUAGUUUGCCACAGACCUAUGGGUCCAUAGUUAUUAGCUAGAUGGCUUGUUCUCUCUUUUUGGAUCUCAAUACAAUGUUCUCCCCCUCUCUUGCGGAUAUCUAUUCGAUGUAAUCUCUUUUUGCGGUGUGUUUGUCGAGAUCCGAUGAAUUGUGGGUUUAUGAUCAAGUUUAUCUAUGAAUAAUAUUUGAAUCUUCUCUGAAUUCUUUUAUGUAUGAUUGAGUUAUCUUUGCAAGUCUCUUUGAAUUAUCAGUUUGGUUUGGCCUACUAGAUUGGUCUUUCUUGCCAUGGGAGAAGUGCUUAGCUUUGGGUUCAAUCUUGCGGUGUUCUUACCCAGUGACAGAAAGGGUUGCAAGACACGUAUUGUAUUGUUGCCAUCGAGGAUAACAAGAUGGGGUUUACAUCAUAUUGCAUGAGUUUAUCCCUCUACAUCAUGUCAUCUUGCUUAAUGUGUUACCCUAUUCUUAUGAACUUAAUACUCUAGAUGCAAGCAGGAGUCGGUCGAUGUGUGGAGUAAUAGUAGUAGAUGCAGGCAGGAGUCGGUCUACUUGUUAUGGACGUGAUGCCUAUAUACAUGAUCAUGCCUAGAUAAUCUCAUAACUAUGCGCUUUUCUAUCAAUUGCUCGACAGUAAUUUGUUCACCCACUGUAAUGCUUAUGCUAUCUCGAGACAAGCCUCUAGUGAAACCUAUGCCCCCCGGGUCUAUCUCUUAUCAUAUUUGCUUUCAAUCUACUUUAUUUGCAUCUUUACUUUUUGCAUCUAUAUUAUAAAAUACCAAAAAUAUAUUUAUCUUAUCAUACUAUCUCUAUCAGAUCUCACUUUCGUAAGUGGCCGUGAAGGGAUUGACAACCCCUUUAUUGCGUUGGUUGCGAGUUCUCUGUUUGUUUGUGUAGGUGCGUGGGACUUUUGAGGAGCGUCCUACUAGAUUGAUACCUUGGUUCUCAAAACUAAGGGAAAUACUUACACUACACUUGCUGCAUCACCCUCUCCUCUUCGGGGAAAACCAAGGCUAGCUCAAGACGUAGCAACCACCACCAGGAUCCAUCGCCUUACCUCGGCCGGGCUCACCCAAAAGAUUAUUGGGGCCGAUUUCAUCCGCCGUCGGAUUGCCCCACUGCACAACAAGGGGAGGCCGGCCUGGGAUUUCAGGAACGCGGCUGACGUCAUGAGGCUCCGCCCCGGCCUGAAACACAAUUUCACGAUGCUGCAGCAUGCUCAUCUUUGCCAGAGGAUUUUUCAGCUCAAGGUGGAUGAGGUCGGCGGAGUCGAGAGGACCGGCAAGGCCUAGAAAGCCAGCAAGGCCGUCAAGGCUGGCGGGUCUCUGUUUGGGUUACCAGCAGGAGUAGUCCCAUUGAGCAACAACUCUUGCCAGACUGCCAUCAUCGCCAUGUUGCCGAAUUUCAACGCGCAUGGCCUGGACCCAAGCUGGGCCGAGCCGGAAGCAAAGUGGGUGCAGGCAUUCUUCGACAACCUGUCAGAGAGGUAUGUUCGUGAUGAGCCACUUCUCAUCCGUGACACCACUCAUGCAGAGGUGGCGUACAUUGUCGCCAGGGCGGAGGAGGCGGCUCUUGCUAAGGAGGUUGGCAGCGUUGGCACCAUGGAGGACGAGGCCGAUACGACCGCAAAAGAGAAAGAGUUCGCCGAGUGGGCGGGGUCUGCCAGGGAGGCCAGCGGUGCCGCCCCCCCCCCCCCUUGUUGAGGAAACGGUCGAGGAGUCAGCCGAAGGGGAGACCGAGGCGGAUGAUUCCUCGGCCCCGGGGAGGUAAUGCAUCCUGUGGCAGGCUAGCUCCGGCGAGCCAGUCCGGCCGGGCAGGACCACGCAGCGGCAACAAGCCCAGCCACAGCCCGUUCGGCAGACGAGGGCCGCGGCAGCGAAGAAGGCGGCGGCCGCUGCCUCUUCCUCAUCCAAGCGGCGCAGGACCCCAUCCCCUUGUCCUCCUCCUUCGGACGGCACCGCGAAGGCCGAUUUCGACCUCGGGUCCUUCAUCCCGAAGAGGAAGAGGAGUCCAGAGGAGGAGGAGGACGAGUAAGCACCUCGCCCUUCAUCAUUUCUGACCUUCAGCUGCCUGUGCUACCUUCUUUUAACUUGAUCUUAUCUUUGAAGUGACACGGAGACGCUGGCCCAGAGGGUGGCAAAGAGGGCCAAGGCUUAGAGGGUGACGGGCCCCGGCGAGCGCUUCGCGCACGCUGCCACUGGUGGUGGUCAGCCCAGACAGCAGCCCUCAGCGCAGCCCCCGCUCCAGCGCUCAGCGUAAGUCCGCUAUUCACUCCCCAUCGACAUGCGUUGGUGUGUGCAUCCUUGGUGCUGACCUUGCCGGGUUCGCAAGAGAAGAGCGGCAAUAGGAGGAGCUGCUGAGGGCCACCCCUGACAUGCCACCCCCAUCGACCGCGCCACCCGGAGGGGCAUCACCGACAAGGGCACCCACCGCCGAGCCCACGCGCAUGGAGGAAGAGGGGGCAAGCACGGGCACCGGUGGCUCCGUCCCCACAACGGACAUUGGCGGGGAAGGAACCACUUCUCCUCAGCAUGGCACGGGUAAGCUGCCUGCCUCCCGUCCUUUGCUAUCUUUGCCACGCAAUAUUCUCCUUUUUCUUUGUCCUGAACUUUGGUUUUGGCCUUGCUUCGCUUCUCUCUGGUCUUCAGACCCUCUCUUGAUGGACCAGGAGGACGUCGAUAUUGUUAUCGAGGAGGUCACCAAGGACGCCGAAGCCGAGGCCACGAAGAUUGAUGUCGGGGCUGCCGCCAAGGGGCCUGCCGGGGAAGUCGGCAGGGCUGCUGCCGAGGAGGCCUGCAAGGCUGCUACCGAGGAGGCCGCCAAAGGGCAUGCCUGGGAGGAGAUGGCUAAUGACCAGCCUUGUUCUCCUACAGCCCCUACCCCGGGCAAGUACUUGAAGGUAGGCGACGACCUGUUCGUCAGCCUUCCAGGGACGGCAAGCACCAGGGCGCCAGCCGACGGGGAGGUCUUCGACGAUGAGGCGCUCGCCGCUGCGGGGCUCCAGGUCGUUGAUGAACCAAGCACCAGCAGCGGUGGUUCCCAAGAGGAGCAGCUCCUCCGGGCCAUGAGCGCCAAUUUCCAGAAGCUUCAGAUACUCCAGCAUGCCUGCCAGGACAAGGUGAACUCCAGGACGACAGCCGUGGACAAGGCCGAAGCAGACUUUCAGGAGCACGUUGCUCAAAUGCAAGUCUGGUUCGGCGAGGCCCGGCAGGAACUGAAGGACGCCCCGGGUCAGCUGGACGAGCGCAAGCGAGAGCUUCUCCUGAAGCAAGCUGACGUCGAGAAGGCCCAGGAGGCGGCGAAUGAACAUGCCGCUAAGGACGAAGCUGAUCGGCGGCAGCAGCAAGCUUUGCUGGACUCCCAAGAUGAGGACCUCGCUGCUCAUGAGCAGGCGCUUGUCACCAUGCUCCGCGGUAAGGACGAGGAGAUCGAGAGGCUCGUUGCGUAGCGGACCCAGGAGCUGGAGCAGAAGCACAAAGAUGCACUUGAUGCUCUAGCACUGGACCACGCCGGCAAGGUGGAGAAGCUGGAGCUGGAGCGGGAGGAGCUGAAGGAGGAGGUCUCGAAGUUGAAGAUGGACAGGAACCUGAUCGCCCACACUCUGGCGGGGCUGCAGGUCACCAUCUCUGACAAGACCAAGCCGCUCUUCGAGGCUAACAAUUCCAUUGGUGACCUGAAGCUGAAGCUGGACACCUUGGAAGGGACACUUUUAGAGGGCAGGGCCCGCGAGAAGACCCUGGCCAAGGCACUUGAGGACGAGAGGCAGCUGAAGAAGGAUGACGCUACCGCCCACAAGGACUAUGUGGACAGCAUAAAUCUCUGGAUCAGCCGCCUCAUCGACAUUGCAGGGAGGCUCAUCACGCAACUAGCCGUCAUGGGCAUGCCGGAUAUCAGGUAGUCCCAGGAGGCGAACAUAAGCCCCAACGCCAGGCUGACCUUGUUCUUCGAGGGCGUUCUCAACGCCCUGGAGCAGCUCCGCUCCAAUCGAGCAGCUUAUCUGGCCAACGAGGCCCGGAGGCUCUGCCGGGGUGCCCUGGCCAAGGUGCUCACCAAGGUGGCGUUCUGGAACCCUAGUGUCGACUUCGCCAACGCGCUGGAGAGCUUGCCGGAGGAUGCGGACCUCAUGGCGCUCGAAGAGCAUAUCAAGCCCAUCAUCAGCUGCGUUGACGGAGUCAAGAGGGUGGAGGGCCAGCGCCGGGACUAGGCACCCCGUUCCUCAUCGCCGCUGCGAGUUCAUGCCCAAGACAAUUUUAUCUUAAGUUAAAACCGUGGCAACCUUUGAUGUAAUAUAACAUGGCAGAUGUAAUAUAACUUUGCAGUAUUAUGAAAUAGUGCGCGCUAUCUUCCUAUCUUGAUUUUUCCUUGUAUGUGCGCACCCUACGCUUUGUUGGAUAAGUUUGCCGGCGCGUAAACCCGUGCCACGACGCUUGAGGGACAGAUCCUUAGCAGCCUGCCGGGGGCUCUUGCUGCCGGGCAAGCCACCUUGCCAUUCUCAGCGCAGCCGCUUGAACUGUUGAGCGGACUCGAAACAGAACAAGGGCAUUGCCAAUAGUGGAAGGGUUCCCUUGCGUGCAGGUUUUCCAUACAAGGAGCAAAAUCCUUCGAGGAAAAUAACCCUAUAAAAGGGAAAUUGCUCAAGGUUUUGCGUGACUUAGCUUUUCGUUGCCACGCGGAUGGUUAUCGCGGCUGCGGACGACACCGCUCGCCUGGCUGAUGGCACCAGAGUUAUGGAGAUGAUCUUGACCUCCUGCACCGCCAGCAUCCGUCCUGCCGCCUGCCUGCACUGGCACGGAUGGACCGGCUCCAAACGAGCUGACCGCUGGGGCCGCCUUCUCCUUCGGAGCCAUGGCGAUGAAGAAGUCGAUGCGCUAACUUCUAGACCAGAUUUUCACAGCCUCUGCCCCCUACCUGGCGCGCCAAAGAUGUCGGGCAAAACGACACCUAUGGGAUCACGAGGAUCCCUUCUACGGUUGGCGGGGCACGGGGCUGCGCAAAGAGCAGGUCAAAAAGAUCAGCACGAGGGGAUUUUUACCCAGGUUCGGGCCGCGAGCGACGCGUAAUACCCUAGUACUGCUUUUGUGUAUAUUUGGUGUUCUUGAGUUCUUGAACUAGCUGCGGUGCAUUGCCCAGUCCAAAAAGUCUGAAUCCCUCCUCAGUAUGCCUCGGGGCUCCUUUUAUACGUCAAAGGGGUCGCCACAGUGGCACACGGAAGGUGGAAAGCAUCUACAAUGUACUAGUUUAUCUCAUGACAUCAUAGGACAAACACAUUUAAUGAGCCGCCUAUGUGUCCUCUUGCUUUAUCGGGAACGGCAACAAGGUUUGUCCCGUCCGUCGCCGCCUCGCCUUGCUUCGACGCGCGUCCAAGCUGACGAGGCAUGCAGCGCCACGCUGGCUGGCUGGCUACUGUGCUAGCGCGGUGACAGAGUCUUCACGAAGAUCUGCAUGCAACCACGCAUGUGCUUGCCUAGUUGGCCUAGAAACUACACGCUGCCACGCAGGCGCUUGCUUAGUUGGUGGGCUGGAGUGGCGACUGAGCAGCCAAAUCUGGCCAUGGUCUUGCCGACGCCUCCCGCAAGGGUCUUGCCAGGGCCUAGUGGCCGUCCCCGUCAAGGAUCUUGUCGGGGGUUUCGUUGGCGUUCCCGGCAAGGAUCUUGCCGGGGGUCUUCGUCUGUCCCCGGCAAGGAUCUUGCCGGGAGGGGGGGGGGGCUCUGCUCUUCACAAAGAUCAGCAUGCCACCACGCAGGCGCCCCCGAGCCUUGGUCUCGACGUUGUCGAUGGGGUUGGAGCCCUCAGGCUCAAGGGUGGCAGCCUUGCUGGUGUCGGGCAAGUCACCCCGGCAAGGCUCUUGCCGGGGCUAUGUAGGCCGCCCCGGCAAGGCUCUUGCCGGGGGGAGAUCCAUCUUGCACCUUUGCUCUUCACGCCUCUGGCUUGAGUGUCGCUUUGGCAGUCUCACACCUUCCCUUUCUCUGCCCCGCCAAGCCCGACCGCAGGUGUGGCUACGACUGCUCAUGCACAAGUAAAGGGGUACAGAAGGGCCCCUACUUUUGUACACCGACACGCGGGCACCCGCGCUACUGAUAUACCUAAAACCCGCGCUACUGCUAGGCUUUUCCCUAGUAGUGGAAGGAGGCUCUUUCAUGCAACUACUUCUCUGGUUGAUGCUCGCCUAGACUCGCUAGUUGAUCGGGACUCUCCUUUGCCAACAUCUAGCCUUGGUAGUUAGGUUAGGUUGCCCUCGGAUGCACAAGGAGAAGAACCUAGGUUGCUAGGCGCGCGGCUUCCCGGACGGCGAGCGAUCCUGACAAUGAUGUUGACUGCCCCCUUGGCUAUGUGCUUAUGUGGAUGGCAAGUGCUGGGUGGUCCUAGGGAGGUUGUUGCCGAUGGUGGCAGGCAGGCCGUGAUCUAGAUAUUGAAGGCUAGAUCCGUCAUGAGAGGGCCUCUCCUCUUGUUGGGCUUGAUGGCCAGCGUUCCACAACAAGUUGUGAGGGGUGAUAUCUCAGCACUUUCGUGCCAACGGCGGCAACACUUGUGGGUGUCGGUCCGCCCUUGGGGUUGUCGCCAUGCUCUUUGCAGGUUGGUGGCGCAGUUUCAACAGCAAGUCUUGCACCAUUUCUCGAACAAAAGUUAAUUGUUACCUUAUCCUGGCAUUCUUGCAUGGAAGACUACUGGAAUAAUUGCGCUAACAAAUAGAAAUGAGCCACCCUAUAUAGCUACAAGUGUGCCAAGUGAUUGGUCUGAACCUUUUUGUUUUUACUAGUUAUUAUUAACAAGUGUUUGUUGAAAGAUAUUUUUUGUAAAAAUGAAUAGCACAGAGCUACUGCAAUAAAAAUGCUGAUGUGGUUCCUGUGUUUCCAGGAGAAAAUACUAAGACACUUGAAUUUUUUUCAACAUAAUGUCUUGGAAAUCAACAAUAAGUUUAUUGAUCUAUUUUUUCUUUUCUUCUUGAUCGGGGUUCUUAAUACUAUUCCACCGAAUCAACCCGCCGGGAAAGUUGAGGUAUGUUUUCUUGCAGGGAUAUGCAUCCGUAUCUUUUUAUAAAUUAGAACGCACACUCCAUUUCUUGAAUUAAUAUACCUGGAUUGAUUGUGUGAGGUUAAUAUCUCAGUUUUCUUUUAAUUUAGAAUCAUGAUUUAUUUUUCUUGGCUUAAUCUCUCAUUGUAAAUUCAUAGGUAUUACAGUCAAGGAGGAAUCCAUUGCUUAUCCCAUGGAAAGGUGGUGUGCUAAGUAGUAUCUAUUUGGCGGUAAUUUGUUGAAGGUGUUGUGUCUUGCCCAUUCCUUUAUAUCUGUCAUUUCUUGUGCUCCUAUAUUUUCGGAUCCCUAAAUCCUACUUUACGCUCGGACAGAUUUUGGGUGUCCUUGAUACUGGACGUGAUGCUUGGAUCCAUAGAGAAGGUUGGAUUAAAACUAGCGUUCCCGUUGGGAGUGGCAGAAAAAUGUAAGGAUUCCUAUUUUCUUUCGCAAGUCGCAACUGAUGUGCUACUACAAUUCGUAACAGGUAGUUUAAUUUAGAAUCAUGAUUUAUUUUUCUUGGCUUAAUCUCUCAUUGUAAAUUCAUAGGUAUUACAGUCAAGGAGGAAUCCCUUGCUUAUCCCAUGGAAAGGUGGUGUGCUAAGUAGUAUCUAUUUGGCGGUAAUUUGUUGAAGGUGUUGUGUCUUGCCCAUUCCUUUAUAUCUGUCAUUUCUUGUGCUCCUAUAUUUUCGGAUCCCUAAAUCCUACUUUACGCUCGGACAGAUUUUGGGUGUCCUUGAUACUGGACGUGAUGCUUGGAUCCAUAGAGAAUGUUGGAUUAAAACUAGCGUUCCCGUUGGGAGUGGCAGAAAAAUGUAAGGAUUCCUAUUUUCUUUCGCAAGUCGCAACUGAUGUGCUACUACAAUUCGUAACAGGUAGUUUUUCUUAUAGCCCGCUCAGUUUCUCCAAAUUGUAUUGUUGCAUCUUCAUAUAGUAUCAGUGUGUUAACAUGGAUAUCAGGAUAUGUAUAUUGGAUGGUCUGGCCCUUUUUCUGUAAGAUGCACACUUAAUUAUAAGCUAUUGCAUAAUUGAAGGUCUCGUCCUAAGAGUCUGAAUAUCAAAUGAGCUUUGAAACACGAGAAAUGAACUGAUCUGCUUUUUUUUAUCAAAAAAUUGAAGCUUUUAGUUGAAAUGGUUAUCGUGCAAGCUAUCUAUCUAUCUACUGCCAACUCAUAAGAUGCACAAUUUGCAUUUUUUAUUUGUCCUGAUCUUUGUUAUGGUAACAAGCUAUCCAAGACUCUGCAUUGCCCCGACGAGUCCGAAUAUCAAAUUAGUGUUGAAACAUGAGAUAUGAACUCAUAUGCUUUAGUUCAGCAAUUCGAGGCCUUUAGCUGAAAUGGUUACCUUCAUACCCUGCAAGCUAUCUACUGCCAAAUCAUAAGAUGCAGAAUUUGCAUUUUAUUUUGUAGGCGGUCUGCGUAGGUGUCGACUAUCUUGGGAUGCAAUUGCCGGUGUAACCCCGGAUACUUAAGCAAGGCGGAACUUCAUCCUUGGCGAGGAUGUCAAGGGACAUGGAGAAGAGAUUUACAUAAUGAAGGCCCGUUUUCUGUCUAUCCUUUCAUUCAGAACUAGAAAGGGAUAUAAUAAAAUACAUGGAGAAGAGAUUUAGAGAUUUAGGGGUGCCAUGUAAAGACAUUCUCCAUUUUCAGGGUGAUUUACUACCUGUAAGGCUGUAACUUGUAAAUAAGUAAAAUACCAAGCCUCUUGACGUUGUUCCUGAUUAUCUAACAGUAUAAAUGACUUUUCAGCCAGAUUAAUUAUUUGUUCUGAAUAGGCAAAUAUGUGUACCAGUUUAAUUAAGCAUCAGGCAUUUCCAUUUGUACACUUGAUCAUGUGGUUGAAAGCGCUCGGACUGCCAGAAUGAUGCCUGACCAGGUGAUCUAGGCUCCCAGCAAGGACAAUCUCUCUGAAGGGAAAGCUCCUGACGCCCUGCUCACAUUCAUCUCCAUCACAACCUCCUGUGUUGCAGAGGUUAAUCACAUGAACACUAGAAACUUUGACGCCCGAUCGAUGGAAAAAUGGCAACGGAAGCCGAGAGAGUGGUGCAAACAAGGCACAUUUCUCGCUUCGGUUUUCCACCUUUUUUUGUGUGUUCUGCCACAUCAUGUUUAUCAUUUACCAAGUAACCCCAUGUAUGUGAGUAUAUCUAGUACUCCCUCAAUCCCAUAAUGUAAGACAUUUUUCAACAGUAGCCUGUAACUUUGUUGUAUAGUACUCAUCUCUUUUGUAGAUAAACAAACAAAAUACAAUACAUGCACCAUGUAUUUUAAAAUCUAUAAAAAAAAGGCUCUAUAUAGCCCGAGCACCAAAACGCUGUGCUCCAAACAACUAGCACUAUACUAGCAUGAUGAACUUAUGAUUUUCUAUAUGAAUAACAAGAAGUCAAGUGCUGCUACCAAACACAUUGACAUAAGUUAUCAACUUAUGAAGAUAGAACACGGGAUCAAGUAAUUGAUGUUAAGCAUAUAAUUAUGACAAAAAUGCUUGCUGAUUCGAUCACUGAAGGAUUUGGAAGUUUUAUGAAACCCCGAAUUAAUUUAAACAAGAAAGAAAAAACAGAAAAAAAAACAAGCAAAGAGAACUGGGGUGUCCCACCCCGGACAUGGGCUGGCUCAAAACCGCGUGCACUUUUGCUCCCUAUUCAGCACGUAGGUCGCUGAAUAGGUGCCCCCUUCCAUUCUUAUCCUCAACCUGAGAAUAGAAAAAAAAACAUCUCCUUUUUUUUUCUCUACCUGCGGUGCCUCGCAGUAGGCGGCUCCUUCUCCAUUGAAUCCAUGCCAAGUCCCUCACCUCGCGUGUCCCCGCCUUUCCCUCCUCUNNNNNNNNNNNNNNNNNNNNNNNNNNNNNNNNNNNNNNNNNNNNNNNNNNNNNNNNNNNNNNNNNNNNNNNNNNNNNNNNNNNNNNNNNNNNNNNNNNNNNNNNNNNNNNNNNNNNNNNNNNNNNNNNNNNNNNNNNNNNNNNNNNNNNNNNNNNNNNNNNNNNNNNNNNNNNNNNNNNNNNNNNNNNNNNNNNNNNNNNNNNNNNNNNNNNNNNNNNNNNNNNNNNNNNNNNNNNNNNNNNNNNNNNNNNNNNNNNNNNNNNNNNNNNNNNNNNNNNNNNNNNNNNNNNNNNNNNNNNNNNNNNNNNNNNNNNNNNNNNNNNNNNNNNNNNNNNNNNNNNNNNNNNNNNNNNNNNNNNNNNNNNNNNNNNNNNNNNNNNNNNNNNNNNNNNNNNNNNNNNNNNNNNNNNNNNNNNNNNNNNNCCACCGCCCCUUCUCCUUGCGCCGCCAUGUCCCUGGCACACUGCCACGGCGCUGCCGCUCUACUCAUCGUCGGAGGCCAGAUUCACGCGCAGCUGAGCAUGCAGACCAUGGAAGGGCACGUCGUACUGUUCGAGGUAGAUGACGAUGGAGUGGGAAGGUACCUUCGGCAGGAAGAUGCAAAGCAGCAGCAAUGUCACCCGUGCUAGGAGGACCAUGACACUGGCACGACCGUGAACACUACUGCCGGUGAAGACCGGGUCGGCAUGUCCUUCCCAGAACCGUUUUUUCUUUGUUUUCCUUUAUUUUUAUUUUUACCUUUACCUUUUAUUUUUUAUUUUUAUUUUCUAUUUUCAUUUUUUCUUUUUUGUUUCUUGUUUUUAUCUUUAUUUUCUUUUUCACUGUGAACAUCUUUAAAUGUGAACGUUUACUGAAAACAUCAAUAUUUCUUGAAAUAAUGAUAUUGUUUCGAAUUUUCCAACAAAUUUUGAAAUCAUGAAAAAAAAUGAAUACAUGAACGUUUUUUUACAAAUUUGUGAACAUUUUUUGAAAUUUUGAAUAUUUUUAAGAAACUCAUGAACACUUUUAAGCAGGUUUUUUUAGAAAUUCAUGAAUAUUUUUUGAUAUGCAUGAACAUUUCCUGAGUUCAUAAUUUUUUUGUAAUCAGCAACCAUUUUUUGAAUUCAUGAUUAUUUUUCGAAAUUCCGGUUAUUCUUAUUUGUUUUAAUUUUAAAAAAUUGUUAACAUUUUUUGAGCUCGCAAUAUAUUUUUGAUGUUCAUGACCAUUUGUUGAAUACACGAAUAUUGUUUCAAUAUGAUGAACAAUUUGUGAAUUGAAAGACAUAUUUUAGAACGUUGAACGUUUUUUGGUAUGCAAACUGUUUUUUCUACAAUGACGAACAUUUUUUCAAUCCGCAAACAUUUUAUAAUUUUAUGAAAUUUUCCAAAUUCAUGAAUAUUUUAUGGUAUGUCGAACAGGUAUUUCAAAAUUUGCAUUUUUUGAAAUAUGAAAGUUUUUGAAGCCCCGAAUUAAUUUNNNNNNNNNNNNNNNNNNNNNNNNNNNNNNNNNNNNNNNNNNNNNNNNNNNNNNNNNNNNNNNNNNNNNNNNNNNNNNNNNNNNNNNNNNNNNNNNNNNNNNNNNNNNNNNNNNNNNNNNNNNNNNNNNNNNNNNNNNNNNNNNNNNNNNNNNNNNNNNNNNNNNNNNNNNNNNNNNNNNNNNNNNNNNNNNNNNNNNNNNNNNNNNNNNNNNNNNNNNNNNNNNNNNNNNNNNNNNNNNNNNNNNNGCGUUUGUUCCCUAUACUGUGUGUAGGUUGCUAAAUAGGAGCCCCCCUUCCAUUCUUAUCCUAAACCUAAAAAUAAACAAAAUCUCGUUUCCGGCGCUGUCGCUGCAGGCGGAUCCUUUGUUGAAUCCAGGACAAGCCCCUCUCCUACAUUGCCUCGUCGCUCCCCACCCAGCCGCAUCUUCUCCAUGCGUCGCCCUGUCCCUGGUACACAGACACGGCGUUGCCGCUCCGCUCGUACUCGAAGGCCAAAUGAGCCCGCAGCUGAGCACAUAGAGCAUGGAAGCGCAUGUCAUGCUGUUUUGAGGCAGAUGAUAGCGGUGUGGGAAGAUACUGUCGGUAGGAAGAUGCGGAGCAGCAGCAAUGUCACCGUGCCAGGAGGACUAUGGCACUGGCAGGACCGUGAACGCCGCUGCCGGUGAAGACUAGGUCGUCAUGAGCGGAGAUCAAGCUACAAGUGGGACUGUACGUGGGAGUCCCACCAACAAUCCACCUCGUCCCAGUACAGUUUGAUGUUGAAAAAGUGGGCAUCCCACCAAAACUAACACAAAUUAAGUGGAAAUAAGUGGGAUUCCCACUUAAUAAAGUAGAGAAGUUAACUGAGGUAUGCGUAACGUCUCAAAACACAUGCAGAGCCAUCGGUGCCUUGGAGCUCGACGCCGUUGAAGUCUGUCAUGGUGGAACCGCGACGGGGCCUCCCGGAUCUAUCCAUUUCCAGCGGCUUGGGGAGGUUUUGUGGCGCGCCGGCGAGCUUCUUCGGGCGGCCAUGGAGGUCCUGCAUGAGAGGGAGGGGAGGGAGAUGAGAGGUGGGUGGAAAAGGAAAAUGGAAGGAGCAUGGGGCAGAGGGCGGCGCUCAUCUAUGGCGGCGGCGACGGUGGCCUCCGGCGGCUCACCGGCCGGAGGUCCGGCACAAGGUGUUGGGACUCGGGCGACGGGAGAAGGAGCUGCUCGGGGCGGGGAGGUGGCUCGGGUAGGAGCUGGCGGCGGGCGGCAGUGCGGUCGGGCCCUGAUGGGCUUCUCAAGGCUCGAUCUUGGUCCUGUGCGUGGAGGGGAAGACAGGGUCAACGGGCAGACUUGCGGCAACGAGAGCACGCUGCGGCAUCACCCAAACUUGCGGUUUUCUAGCUAUAGGGGUAAGGUGGGCUCCCGAUGGGAUAAGUGGGCUAGCCCGAUUAUCAUUUUACCUUUCCAAUGGGAGCCCACUAAAGCAAAUUAAGUGGGAUGGGCUAAUUAAUUCCACCUCCACCUGGGUUCGAGCCAGAUCUGGAUGGUAGAUCCCUGGAUCCACCACCCAAUCACCACAGCUGCACAGCUACAAGCCGACCUCCCCCGUCAAUAAGGAAGAUUCACCUUACCAUGCAAAUUUGUAAGGGUAUCCUAUGUAAUAAAUAAUAAAUAGGUCUUCGCCAUUCUAUUUCGGUUAACAUGCACACAUGUCACCACAACAUUAAAAGAAAAACACCUUAACAUGCAAACAAAAAGGUCCACCUCAAUAAUUAGAUAAAUAUAUCAAAGAAUAUAUAUUUUCAAUAUUAUUUCUCGUAUAUUAAGCCAAAUGCAGUCAAAUUUCAUUGAAAUAUAGUGUAACCAAUUCUCUCAGCACUGCACAGAAUGUGUCAUGUAGCUAGCUGCAAGAGUAACACGUGGACAGGCCCACAAAUUUGCAAUACAGGGCUGAAGAGAUUUUAUUUUAUUUAUUGAAGAAAAAACAGACAAGUACAAAAGACUGAAUGUCAAAACAAAUACUACACGGAAACAUACAUACGUCGUGCAUUGCAACAGGAAUGAUUUACUUUGGUGCGAUGAGUUCGAUUAACUCAUGCACGGCAGCUAGCAAGCUAGCUAGUUCCGCCCCUCCUUUGCUGCCAUGAGAUCGUUGACGAGGCGGUGCAAAUCUUGCUGCGAGGAGCCUCCUUCUGCGAGGGCGCCAUGAGACUUUGAGGCGAGGUCCAUUACCCUGGUCCUCAUAACGUCCCCAGGUCCUCCAGGAUGCAUG